UGGAAAUGUGGAUUACAACACUACCAUCUUAUUUUACUUCCAGAAAUUUAGAAAUCUCAUCGGAAAUAUCUCACUACAAGAGACGUCAGCUAGCCUAAUUACUUCCACAUGGUUCACGAAUAUUUCAACUCAAAACAUCACAAAAAGGAAAUACAAGAACCUGCCAAGUCAAUACUGCCAACAAAGUAUUCAAGAUAGCAUCAUUAAGAUCAAACAAGAUAUUCAAGAUAGCAAGAUUAAGAUCAAACAAGCAAGCUUGCAAUUAACCUCUCCCCAACUAGAGACACCACGCCCAAUUGAUUCCAAGCUAACUGAAUAAGUCCAUAACAGACGGUACAUGCUACUUGCUACCUCAAGGUUCAUCAAUGGUUUCAGACUGCCUCAAACUGGCUUCAAACACCUCAAUCUCAUUCUGUUCAGAUGCAGCGGUUUCAGGGAGAGCUCCUCCUGUCACUCCUUCUGCCAACUUUCGCAACACCACCAGCAACACCGCCACGCGAUUCAACUAGAUAGGUCAUCUUCGUAACCAGUGGAAUUGAGGGGGUGUUUGGACGCAGGGUACUAAACUUUAGGAGGGGUCACAUCGGAUGUUCGGACGCUAAUUAGGACGACUAAACAUGAGCUAAUUAUAAAACUAACUGCAGAACCCCUAUACUAAUUCGCGAGACGAAUCUAUUAAGCCUAAUUAAUCCAUCAUUAGCAAAUGGUUACGGUAGCACCACAUUGUCAAAUCAUGGAGUAAUUAGGCUUAAUAGAUUCGUCUCGUGAAUUAGACUCCAUCUGUGUAAUUAGUUUUAUAAUUAGACUAUAUUUAAUACUCCUAACUAGUAUCCAAACAUCCGAUGUGACAGGUACUAAAGUUUAUGAACCUGUAUCCAAACAGGCCCUGAGAAAGGCGGAUCGUCGAUGAUCUUUCGCAUUUCAGAAACCCAUGGGUUGCCCGUGCUGCUGUCCACACUGAUGUCGAUGGCAAAUAGUAUACCCAGGAUAGUAAGGGCAUAGAGCUUGCCCUGAUGGAAUGCCAUGUCAACAAAGUAUGGAUAAUUGUUUUCCACGCUUACGGACCACCAGGAGUUGGUCCCUGGUUGCGAUCCGUUUGGUUUUCCUAAGCGAAACUAAUGCUGCAAUGAGGUGGGGUGAGCAAAACAUUAGUUUCCACCUCCUCGGCUCCUCCAAAAUCAACCGACGAUGAGACUUUCGCAGCCAUGCUAGGUUGCCUCAUCAAUGGACUCAUCGCCCACGUAGCAGAUUCGGUCACGGGACAAAGCAGGAAGUGGCACCGUGGCAUUGGAGAAAGGAUCCCGCAGGAAGCAGCCAUCCUCGCCUGAGAACACUAACCAGUUGCCACAAGCGUCCGUGUUGCCACUCGGGGCACACGGUGGCGAACCGGAGGCGGUCGACGUGAGCAGGCAGCGGCGGAGGAUCCGGCCGGCGAGAUCCAGCGGGAUGUCCGACCACGAGGGCCCCCUCGUCUUCGCCAUUGAUUGAGCCGACCUUGCAAAUGCAACUAAGAAAGCAUCAGCUAGGAAACACCGUGCAUCAAGAAACCGGAGGAAAAACGCGAGCACAUGGCCGGCGCGAGUGCGUGCGGACGCACAGGCAAUGCGUCGAACACCUUGCGUGCGCGACCCACGGCGAGGGCAAGAUGAACAAAGGGGGACAGGAGCGGCGAGUGCAGGGCAAGGAAUGGAGGCGGAUUACCUGAAAUCGGCGAUUCGCGGCGGCGGAUUCGUGUUCUUGCUGCUGCUGUUCGGGCGGAGGUGAGGCGGGGGUGGGGGCGGCGGGCGGCCGCCGGCCGAGCUGGGGUAGGCAGUUUUAGGAAGAGACUGGAGAGUGGAGUGCUUUCGAGUGGGGUUGAGUGGUUGACUUACCGCUAUAAACUGGCUGACCCUGCAUAAGAGUUGUAUGGAGUGUUACAUUGUACAGCCAUACCAAAUUUCAAGUGCGAAUAAUUUUUUUAAAAAACAAAUUAAAUGUGAUUUUUUUGCUAUAGUGGUAUUGCACACGAAUUUUGUGAUUUUUUGAUCUUCGUAGAUGGAAUCAGAUUUGAAAUUGAAAUUUUGAUUGGAUUCGGAUCAUAACCUCAUAUACCUUUCAUGAAUUUCCAAUGUUUCUUUGAACUUCUAAGCAGUGUUUCUACUGAAAUUUCACCAUCACUAGACAUGGUUCGGACAGGUAGAGAGGUCGAAUAAACAGACGAAACAAGCAGCCUUGAAUUCGUCUUUUCAAUUUCCCCCCUCCAGAGAUGGUACUAUAGGGUCUGAAACUUGGUAGUGUUCUCUGGGGAUGCCUGCUCCCGUGGCCAUGAAAUUUCUAGGUUUUUUGGGCAUCUGUUCCGGCGACGAAUGGGGAUUCUUCCAUGUUCCGUCCAUGCUGUUUGGUCAGUGAUCUGAGCGCAGCCUGAUGCUUUGGUGGUUCAACAACUGCUGCUCGCGCUAUUGUGAACUCAGGAGAAGUCAAGCCAGCAUGCCGGCCGACUUUUGCUCUGCAUGCAUUUCUCUUCUCCUUGUUCCGGUCAUGGUGCAAAAUGAACUGCAGAGAAAGCAAGGCACAUGUCCAACUGCCAGUGAACUGGCUGCUAUCCUGCAGCUCAACCACAACCACGGCCGAUAUUGCCACAUAUCUGAAUGUGUGCAUGAUAUUGCCAGUGAAUGCCGUCUUUCAGUUUCAGAGAUNNNNNNNNNNNNNNNNNNNNNNNNNNNNNNNNNNNNNNNNNNNNNNNNNNNNNNNNNNNNNNNNNNNNNNNNNNNNNNNNNNNNNNNNNNNNNNNNNNNNGGACGAAAAAUAGUUGCCUAUGAAAAAUUCAGAGAACAUAGAAUAAAGGAGUACAGGCGCACUGCGCAUGAUUACAUGCAUCAUGAAAUCAACAGACAUAUAACUCACAGGUAGCAAAUUCAUGUUCAUCAGUUCAUGUCCCAUGAAGCUGUGGAUUACAACACUAAUAAUCUUCUUUGUUCACUUCCAGAAAAUUGAAAAUCUCAACAAGAACAUUCAAUACAAGAGACGUCAGUUAGCCUUGGUUGACAUGGAUCACCGAUGUUCCACCCCAAAACAUCAUCAUCAGAGGAAAUAUAAGAACUUCUCAAGUAAAUACUGCCAACAAAAUAUUCAAGAUAACAAGGGUUAAGAUCAAACAAGCAAGCUUGCAACAUCACCAGCUAGAGACACCACGAAAUUCAAAGCUAAGUCUAACAGCAUAGGUCCGUACCACACCACACACUACGAGAUACAGUAGCUUUGCCGAGUGCCCCUAGCACUCGGCAAAACCCCAAAAAUACUCGGCAAAGGCUUUGCCGAGUAUAACACUCGGCAAAUAUCACACGGUAUUAAUUUUAUCAGCAAAGAGCUCUUUGCCGAGUAUUUUUUAUUGGGCACUCGGCAAAGUCUUUGCCGAGUGCUAAAUCGACUCUCGGCAAAAAAAAAAGUUACGGGGAUGGCGAGGAGACGGUGACGGCGGCUUACCGAGUGUCAUUGUAAAAACACUCGGCGAAGCUCAAAGCUUUGUGAGUGUCAUAGAAAAAACACUCAGCAAACAUUUCGUCCCAGUCCAGAAUUUGGCCUUUUUGCCGAGUAUCACUGGGGCACUCGGCAAAGGGACCAAAUUCUGGCAAGAAUGGACAGAAUUUUGCCACGUGGCACCUUUGCCAAGUGCUUUUACCCUAGCACUCGGCAAAGUCACCCUAUGCCGAGUGUAACUGUGGCGGAACCACCUCGGAUUAGCUUGAUUAAGCAGGGUUGGGCCGCCUAACAUGCGACACUCCUGCCUAAACCGAGUUAAUACGAAGUGCCGUCGGAUUUCAUCCGAUUUAACCACUUAAACAGGAUCGCGUUCAGCAAACCCACCCGAAGGUGAGCGGUUACAGAGAAUACAACAAGUCCACUGAGUUUAAACAGUCUUACUCAAGAGUUUGGUCAUAAAAUUUUAACAUCAGAGUUUUAACAAAAGACAACAGGAAACACUAGCGGAAGACUUCGUCGGGGUCGGACGUCCGGGCGAGGCCAGCCAGAACAUCACUGAGUCCUCUCCUCGCCGUCCGAGGAGGGGUCCCACUCGACCGUCCAGCCUGGCAGGAGCUGGGGCGGCCAAGCACCAACAAGAGAGGGGUCGGGAACUGCAACUUCACCUGAAAAACAGGAGCCACAACAAGGCUGAGCUACUAAGCUCAACAAGACUUAACCGGGGAGGAGCCAACUACUCUCCCAACUAGACAUGCAGGGCUUCUUGGCUGAGGGGUUUGUCUUGCCAAAAGCACUAAGUAACCUAUCUUCAAGUUUUAGCUCCGGUUCUAGAUUUACUUACCAGUCUAGGUUGUGCAACCUAUUCUAAGCAAACAUCGAGCCAAACAUGUGUUUAUAUAAAGCAACAUCAUUGCCAUCAUCAGAUUCCUCGAUUACUCAGGGUGACAUAGCGAUCAAGCAAUCUCAAACUGUGAGAGGCAGACGGAUCGAUUCGAGUUCUUUAACCAUGCAUGGUGAAACUAGCCCCACGACAUCCGCGCACCCGGAGGUCGCUUCCUGUGUCGGCCUUCCCCAUCGAUCCCCUAACCCGUGUCGGGCCCAUUUCCUUUGGUGCAAGGUUCCACAGACCCGGCCUCUGCCGUCCUGUGACCACGCUUUGCCACCACGUGCGACAACCAGCAGGGGAAACUCCGUUCCAAGAACAAUGGGGCGACCGCUCACGUCUAGGUUCAAUCAGGUACUAGGCUUCCUCAUCCCAUACUAAGUAUGAGGCUAGUACUUUCAAACACUUGAUCACGAACACCACCAUUGUCGGGCCUUAUCAAGUUUUCAUAGACAGACGGGGCCAUCAUCCGACCACCAAAGAGUUACCAACCCUGCCCCGUCCAUCGUCCUUAUAGUUGUAACAGGAGAGUAAACAUGCAACUCCUACCACUCGCGAGUGACAGGAGAUCACUCGACUUUUACCGUUUCCUAUUUAAGCAACGCAGCUACUCGGUCCCACAGCUAGUGUUCAGAUCAUGGGUCACUGAGUUAUGCAUCUAGGGUUUCACACAACUCCUAUACGUAAAUGCACAAGAUGCUAUUCGGAAGGCAUGUGCAAGUUUGGCAAACACGUAGGAUUUUCAUGCAACCGGGGCUUGCCUGCAAACAAAGAGGGCGGAAACUGCUCGACGUCGGGGGCGGCUUCGACUUCUGCGGGCGGGAACUCGGCUACAGCUUCUUCUUCGGGCGCCGGGUGCAGCUCGUAGAAGCCGUCAGUGAGGUGCAGCUCUACACGGAUGCAAUGCAAGGGUUAGCUUAACGUUUUGAUGUGACAGCAACACUGGCUCUCCUGAGCCCAGAAACUUGCGACAGAGAGCAGGAGUUGGAGACUGUUUAAGAGAGCUGAUGCUGAUCAACAGGUAAGGGUAGGGAAGAAACGAGUGGUCUGAUCCUUGAACUAGAGGGUGUGAUAACUGGGAUCCUCGGACGUAAGCGCUGAAGGGUUCCCACGUUUUACACUUACACCCUUAAGUUGAAGAAAAAGAUCACAGCCAGACCCUCGGUCGAGGCGGACAAAGGUCGGCAAACAGACAGGGUCGGACGAGACGGAACUGGGGUCGGGUGGGUAGGAGGGGUCGGUCGAGGCGGACUUAGGGUCGGCACUCACCUUCUUCCUGAAAGGAAAGCUUGGGGGUCGGGAAGAGGCAGACUUGGGCAUGGAACUAAAGCUUUGAGCAGGAACUACGGCUGGCGGUGCUCCGGCGGCGGUGCUUCUUGCAGAUCGCAAGAGAGCUCUUGCGCAGCACAAGAGAGCAAGCUGCGGGGUGACUUGGAUGAACUGAAAAGGAACUGGGAGAAGAACUUCUCAAGAUUGGGCGGAUGGCGCUAGGAGCUUGAGCAGGGAGCUAGCGGGAACUAAGGGCAACAAAAGCGGAGGGAACUCCGGCGACGGGCAUUCCUUUUAUAGUUGCGGGAGCAGAGGAACGGAAACGUCGCGGAGAGAGAGAAGGGAAGCGGCGCGAAGGCCGGGGAGAAGCAAUGGAGUGCUCUGCCGUGGCGGCGAUUGAGCAAACCGGGCGGUGCAACAGAACUCCGGGGGUGACGCCAGUGAUCAUUGCGCUACUCCGUCAGGGCGGCAUAGGCGCGGGUAGACCGGUAGUUGAGAUUUGGCGGAAAGCGGGCGUCGCCGUGCGGAAGAGGUGAUAGAAGCGACCGGUUAAACGGCGCUAGGAUCGAGGGCGCACAGGUGGAGAGAACAAACGGACGCGGCGCGGGGGAGAGCGCGGAACAAUAGAUUGUCGGGCGGCGUCUGACAGGGCGGGGAAAGGGACUGUCGCGGCCGCGGUCGGGGUUGGCGGUGGGGGAAUCGUCGUGUAGCGACGACCGGGCGGCGCAACUGUUGCUGGAAAGGACGGAAAAGACGGGCGACAUCGGUCUCCGGGGCCGAGAUCUGGUAUCGUGAUGAUGGGUGCGGGGAGCGAGGCUCUGCAGAAAGGGGUGCAGAGGGCUUCCGCUGCUAUUGGGGGAAGAGGGCGCGGGAACCCACUCGGUCGCGUGCCAGGGACAAAACUGAGCGGUGGCGUCGGAGAAGACGAGCCACGCGGCAGGAAGGCUCUGAGGCAGCCAUGCAACUCGAUGUUGGAGGUAUGCCCUAGAGGCAAUCAUAGAGAUGAUGAUAUUCCAUUUGUAUCCAUGAUUUGUAUAUUGUGUUCAUUGAAUAUCCAUUAAAGGCUACUUGAAUUGAUUUGCAAUUAUGUGAAUUGUAUGUGAAACUCUUUACUUGUAUGGUUAUUCUAAAGUUGUCCCUAGUCGGAGUUCAUGUGAGGACACACAUGAAUAUUAGACUAGCACAUGUAUUAGUUGAUGACUAUGUUUCACAAGUCAUGGACAUGGAGAUGUUGAACUAAUAAUGUGGACACAUGUGGAGACAUGUGUUAGGACUGACCCAACACGAGAAGUAGUUCUCUCUUUAAACAACAUAUACGCUUUGUCCUUAGACCUGAGAUUGUCGCAUGUAUUCUAGAUGUGGAUCGACCUACUUAGGGGCUAUCAAACGCUACGCCGUAACAGGGUAGUUAUAAAGGUAGCUUUCGGGUUUGUCAAGAAGCAUGCUAUGAGACAUGGUCAAUCAAGAUGGGAUUUGCCCCUCUCUGAUUGAGAGUGAUAUCUCUGGGCCCCUCGAGUGAUCGGAUCCGAAAAUGCAUGGCCAUGCUACGUACGGUUAAGAGUUAACCUACAAAGGGAUUCCGAAUCACAGGAUCGAGAAAGAGCGGUCGGCUUGAAGCUAGACCAAAUAUCGUGAGGCAAAGGGAAUAGCAUGUAUAUUAUGUUGUGAUGGUUCGUCUGAUAUGAUCUUCGUAUGCGUAUAGGAGUUGGCACGUCUUGCUAGAGGCCGCUACCGACUAUUGGGCCGAGUAGGAGUACUCGGGCCAUGUCUAUACGUAUCCGAACCCAUAGGGUCACACACUUAAGGGGCUGGAAGCCCAAUUUGGAUCUGAUCCGAGUUGGAUUAGGUUUAGGAGUACUAAUGGGCCUCGGAUCCAGAGGCCCAUCAGGAACCCCUAUAAAUAGAGGGGUGGGGGCGCCCUAGGGUUUUACACCUUUUGGCUGAACAGACUUGCCGCGCCUCCCACGCCCUCGCCUGUUGCAACUCGCGGAUCUAGUAGUCCGGCUUGCGACGCUUCCUCCCUGAACGUGUGGAUACCUUGGAGGUGUUGCGCCUGCAGCACUUGGACGAGCCAUAGACGAGCCGCCGACGAGCCACGACGAGCCGACGACGAGCCACGGCACCGGAGGCGAUCUUGCUGUGCACGUGGACGAGCUGCUGAGGAGCUGCUGGACGUGAUCGACUACGUACGACUACGUUGAUCGACUACGUACGACUACGUGAUCGUCUUCACUACACCGACGCAUAUCUACAUCUUCCGCACCAGUAGUGCGUCGAGUGGUAAUCCCGUGAUCCUUAUAUGGCAGUUCUUCCUGGUUAUACGCGGUAGAAAUUUUGAUUUGCGCUAGCGUAGCCUACCUCGUAUCCCAACACUCGAGUGCGGCUGGUGCGGGGGAUCUGGAAAAGAUCUCGCGGGUCCACCGGGGGAAAAGAUCUGACGGUUGAGGAAGAUUAACAGGAUCCGACGGAUGGCUGAACUCGCUGGGGUCGGGAAAAAGGAACGAAGCGGUCGGGGUCGGAUCUCAGGGGUCGGAACCGGCGGAAAACUGUGCACUUAAGUGCGAUCGUCAGAACAACUGAUGGAGGUUUAAGGGCCGAGAUCAAACCUAACUGGGAAAGAUUAGGGGUCGGUCGUUACAGCCUACCCCUCUUAAAAGGAAUCUCGUCCCGAGAUUCAAGACCAAGGGUGUGCUGCUCUUACCUCCUGGAUGAGAUAGAAAACCUGGAAAACGCUUGUUCAGAUAUUCUUCCGUCUCCCAUGUUGCUUCGUCUUCGGUGUGAUUUCUCUAGAGGAUCUUGUACAUCUUUACCAUGUGGCGUCGGGUGUGCCUUUCCUUCUGGUCAAGGACUCGAUCUGGGUACUCGGUGUAGGUCAGGUCAGGUUCUACUUGAAGCUGUUCUUGUUCUAGGAUUUCUGCUGGAACUCGGACACAUUUCUUCAACUGAGACACAUGGAAAACAUUAUGUAAGGCUGACAGCUGCUCUGGAAGUUGGAUUCUGUAAGCGACGGGUCCACAGAUCUCCACAAUCUCAUAAGGGCCGAUGUAACGGGGAGCUAACUUGCCCUUUAUUCCAAAACGUUGCACUCCUUUGGUUGGGGAGACUCUAAGGUACACAUGGUCACCAAGGUUGAACUGCAGGGGUCUUCUCCGUUGGUCAGAGUAACUCUUCUGUCGAGAUUGGGCAGUCUUGAGAUUGGCCUGAAUUACUCUUACUUGCUCUUCGGCCUCUGCCACUAAGUCGGGGCCAUAAACCUAUCUUUCUCCUGGUUGGGACCAGUUCAAGGGUGUUUGGCAUCUUCGGCCGUACAGGGCCUCAAACGGUGCCAUCUUCAAACUGGCUUGGUAGCUGUUAUUGUAGGAGAACUCUGCUAAGGGCAGGCACUUGUCCCAGUUCUUGUCAUAGUGAAUGACACAAGGUCUUAACAUGUCUUCAAGGAUUUGGUUGACUCUCUCGGUUUGGCCAUCGGUUUGGGGAUGGUAUGUUGAGCUUCGAAUGAGCUUGGUGCCCAUAGAUGUUUGUAGUUGCUCCCAAAAUCGUGCCACAAACUGAACUCCUCUGUCUGAGACUAUGGUCUUGGGUACACCGUGUAGAGAAACGAUACGGUCGAGGUAUAACUCUGCAUAUUGCUUGACUGUGUAGGUGGUACGAACAGGCAAGAAGUGUGCUGUCUUGGUCAGACGGUCCACUAUAACUCAGAUAGAAUCAGACCGUUGAGUCGUAAGGGGUAACCCAACUAUGAAAUCCAUGCUGAUGUCUUCCCAUUUCCAAGAGGGAAUAGGUAGCGGCUGCAAGGUUCCUGCUACCUUCAAGUGACUGGCCUUGACACGUCGACAAGUGUCGCAUUCUGAAACAUAACGAGCUAUCUCCGGUUUCAUCCCACUCCACCAAAAGGUUUGACGAAGAUCAUGGUACAUCUUGUUGCUGCCAGGGUGGAUGGAGAACUUAGAAAGAUGAGCUUCAUCGAGGAUUUGCCUCCUUAACUCGGGGUCGGCGGGCACUACUAGCCGGUUUCCAUAGUACACACCUCUUGUUUGGUCCUGCCGGAAAAGUUUAUACCCUUCGUCCUUUACCGAGAUCUUACUGAUGAUCCGUUUCACUUCUUCAUCCUUUGUUUGUGCUGAUCGAAUCCGGUCUUCCAAAACUGAGUCAAGGGUGAGGUGAUCAAGGGUUCCAUGGGGAACAAACUCUAGACUUAGUUUUCCCAUCUCGUGACACAAGGUGUCGGUGAAGGCUGCUGACAACAAGCAGUUGCAACGGGGUUUUCGACUGAGGGCAUCGGCCACUACAUUGGCCUUGCCAGGAUGAUAGUGCACGUCCAAGUCAUAAUCCUUUAUUAACUCCAGCCAUCUUCUCUGACGCAUGUUGAGGUCGGCUUGCGUGAAGAUGUACUUGAGGCUCUUGUGGUCGGUGUAGAUGUUGCAGUGAGCUCCCAUUAAGUAGUGCCUCCAUCUUCAAGGCAUGUAUCACUGCUGCCAACUCGAGGUCAUGGGUCGGGUAGCUCAGCUCAUGAGGUCGCAACGCACAUGAGGCAUAGGCAAUGACUUGGCUGUCUUGCAUAAGAACACAUCCGAGCCCAGUGCCAGAGGCGUCACAGUAUACGUCAUACGACCUAGAGGGGUCGGGUUGAGCCAAAACUGGGGCGAUGGUUAACAAGUGCUUCAAGGUUUUGAAGGCUUCUUCACAUUUGGUGUCCCACACAAACUUGGCCUCUUUCUUCAACAACUCGGUCAUCGGCUUAGCUAUCUUGGAGAAAUCCGGUAUAAAACGCCGAUAGUAUCCUGCCAGUCCGAGGAAACUCCGGAUCUGGUGUACCGAGACAGGAGACUUCCAUUCCAUGACCUCUUGCACCUUACUGGGAUCUACGGCAAUACCGUCCUUGGAGAUAGUAUGUCCCAAAAACUUGACACUAUCCAACCAAAACUCACACUUGGAGAAUUUUGCAUACAGCUGGUGAUCUCUCAGUCGCUGAAGAACUAUGUGAAGAUGGUGGGCAUGCUCUUCCUUGUCCUUGGAGUACACUAGGAUAUCAUCAAUGAACACCACUACAAACUUGUCCAGCUCGGGCAUGAACACCGAGUUCAUAAGGUACAUGAAGUAAGCGGGUGCAUUGGUGAGUCCAAAGGACAUGACUAGGUACUCAUACAACCCAUAUCUGGUAGAGAAAGCUGUCUUGGGCACAUCGUAAGGUCGAAUCCUGAUUUGGUGAUAACCAGAUCGAAGAUCGAUCUUGGAGAACACUUUUUCUCCGGCUAACUGGUCGAACAAAACAUCAAUGCGGGGCAGUGGGUACUUGUUCUUGACUGUUACCGCAUUGAGGGGUCGGUAAUCCACACACAUCCGUAAACUGCCGUCUUUCUUCUUCACAAACAGGGCGGGGCAUCCCCAAGAUGACGUACUGGGUCGAAUGAAACCCUUUCUCAACAGAUCAUGCAACUGGGUCUUCAACUCUGCUAACUCAGCGGGUGGCAUCCGGUAAGGUCUCUUAGAUAUUGGAGCUGUGCCAGGAACUAACUCGAUAGAAAACUCCACUUCUCUGUCAGGUGGCAUGCCUGGCAAGUCCGUCGGAAACACAUCUGGGUACUCACAGACCACAGGGAGGUCUUCUAUACGGGUUCCCAAGAGAGAAAAAGCACAAGGGUUCCAGGACUCAGGGUGGGUCAAGGAUAGGAUAGCACUGCCAUGAGAGGGCGAGCUGAUGGAAAGAGAUCGGGCUGAGGUAUCUAAAACAACAUGAUGUCGGGUCAUCCAAUCCAUGCCAAGGAUGAUGUCUAGGCCUUCGAGGUCAAGGAUGAUAAGGUUUUCCUUGAAGAGGGUGGGGCCUAGCUGGAGAGGUACCAGAAUAAUGACCUGAUCCGACGUUAUCCUUCCUCCAGGAGUGGCGAUCACAUAGGGUUCCUUAGUGUGACCUACACUUAGCCCGCAUCUUUCCCUUGCCUUACUCCCGAUAAAGCUAUGGGAGGCUCCCGAAUCAAACAACACCACAACAGCUUGUUUUAAAACAAGAAAAGUACCCGUCAUUACUGACGCACCUUCGGGAAGUUCGGUCAGGCUGGUGUAGUUGAGUCGGUCUUGUCGGACUUGCACCUUGGGCCUUCUUCCUCUGGCUGCCAUGGGGUUCUGGCCUUGCUGUUGAGUCUUGCUCCUGGGGCAGUCCCUUGCAAAAUGUCCCUCGUUGCCGCAGGUAAAACAUCUGUUACUGGCUGCAGGACGAGGUGGCGUUGGUAAGGUCGGCCGGGGUACUUGUGGUUGGAAGCCUGGAGAACUGGGCAUUGUUGCCAGCGGGGGUCGGGCGAUCCAUUUCCCUGACGGUUGGGGUCGGCCAGGGGCUUGCGGAGGGAUCAUCCGAAACCUUCGGGCUGGCGGGCUCGGAAGAGCCACAGAGGCUUUCCUCUUCUGGUCGGCCUUGAGAGCUUGCAUGCAAUCUUCCUGGGAGAUGGCCAGAUUGACCAACUCGUUAUAAGUGUCCACCCAGAUGGGGUUCAGCCUCUCCCUGAGCUCCAAGCUCAGUCCUCGGCGGAAUCUAUCCCACUUCUUCUCAUCGGUAUCCGCGUGAUAUCCCGCAUAACGGCACAGGUCGUUAAACGCCUGGGCGUAGUGCAGCACAUCCCUAGUUCCUUGGGUGAGGGCCAGAAACUCGUUGAGCUUUCGCUCCAGGAGACCUUCAGGAAUGUGAUGCGCCUUGAACACCAUCUUAAACUCGUCCCAACUGACCACGUGGCCAGCAGGUAGCAUGGCAUGGUAGUGGUCCCACCAAAGCCGUGCGGAACCACGCAGCUGCUGAGCUGCGAACCGCACCUUAUUGUUGUCAGGGCACGGAGCGGUAAGGAGCUCGAACUUGGAUUCGAUCGUCCGAACCCAUGCAUCAGCAUCAAGCGGUUCCUGGGUCUUUUGGAACAGCGGGGGCUGUGUCCCCAAAAAGUCCUCAUAUCUGCGACAUGCUACUGCUGUGCUCUGCCACCAUGUGGCUGCUGUUGUCCUUGCACCAGAUGCCUGAGCAGCUCGGUUUGAGUUGCUAGGAUUGCCUCCAAUGGCGAUGGUGGCGGGGGCGGGGGAAGAUCCUGGCGCUGGUCACUGUUGCUGGGCAUAGUUCCAGACCUCGUGCGGUGCGCCAUCUGCAAGAGUUAACGCCCCAUUAAUCUCAUAACCUUAGGUGUAUUCCAACGAAUGGGAACGUGUGAAUUAAAUCCCUUAAUGCGACUCUUGCCAAUGGUGCCUCACACGUCCUUAUAGAGGAAGCACAUUCCUCCCAUUUCAUCACAGAUAGCCCCUACUUGCCCUGGUACUCCACCUCAAGUAACCACACCACAUACAGACUCCUAGGGUCGGGUCCACUCGAACCAAGGGGUCGGAUACGGUCCGCACUCUCAGAGGGUCGGACAAGGCGGUGACGGUCUUAAGGGUCGGCGCACUCUGGUUCGCAAACUAGGGUCGGCCAACUGAACAGGCUCCCCGAAAACAACACAGGGUCGGCACCAGUUACUUAGCCUUAGCAUCCACAUCAGACGAAAAGGAUAGAACUGUACACUGCACUGGAUUGACAUUAUACACAAUGUCGUCUCAACUCAGGAAGUACUCAACUCAAGGCUAACCUAUUACAACUUUCCAAAACUAGGCUGCCGAGGAGUACAACAAAAGAAAGAAGGUUCCCUAAGAACCCUUAAACUACCACUGGACACUAUGAGUCGGAGAAGGGACGCCAUCUUCUUCUAUGUCCAUGCUGGACGCUCCCUCGUCUUCCUCAGGGUCCUCCUGAGCUUCAAGUUGCAUGUUGAGGGCAUGCAUGUCUUCAAGCUCAGCUUGGUGCUCCUCUAGGUGGGCAUUGGCAACAGCCAAUUCCAUUUCCACCUCCAUUUUCUCCUCCGAGAGCUCGAUCAUACCGUCCACAAGGUCGGCAACUUCUCCUUCCAGCUCGGAGAUCCGGUCUUGCAUGUCGUGGAUCUGGAUUCCACGUUGGAUCAGCUGGUAGGUUUGGCCUACCAGAUCUCUUCUAGCUGCUUGGAGGUACACGUGGGUGUCCAUAGCAGUCCGAGCAAAGAGUGUCAUGGCCCUUCCUUGGAGCUCGAUCAGCCGGUAGAACGCAGCCAUGCAUCUGACGUUGGUGGAGAUGGUGAGCAUGGCGCAGGUAGCGGCCAACACUUCAAGGUUGUCGAUGCGGUCCAGCCAGGCCGGGUCCAUCCGACUUCUGACAGGAAAAAGACCGAUCGGGUCCAGGGUGAUCUCCACGGGGUGGAACUGACAGAACUGCGUGAGCAACUGGAGAGCAGCGGAUUCCCACGUAUCUUCCGGAGAAAGACCGUAGGCUAUGAUGCCCAGAGAGGGCCAGUCGGGCCGCACAAAAGGGGGUGGCACCAGUGCUUGCACCUGGCACGCCUGGAUGCCUUGCUCCACAUACAGCCGCCCAGAGUAUAGGGGUGGGGACUGAUACCCAAACCAUCUCAACGUAUCCCACAAGAUCGCGGGAAACCCCUCGAAAUGUAGACAGUUUGAUUGGAAGGUACCGUCCGCUCCAAACACCACAUGCCCGAGAGCAGCCAUCUGGAACCAAGAAAACCGAAGCCAUGUGAGAUAACUCCGAAGAUCAGGGGUCGGAUAGAGAAGCAGAAGGGCUUAACCGAGAGCAACUAAGAGGAACUAGAAAUCCUUAGAAGGAACUCUGUCGGACAGGGUUGCUGUUGAGAAGGAACAUUACUGAUUUCUUUAUGACGCAUGCACGGCCUACCGUACUCUUAACCAAAACAACUGCCCGAACCUCGGGUCUUACGCGGUCAGCGCCGGUGACAAGGCAACCAUACGUCUCUCCCUAUAUUAUCUAGUCGGUUCUAGCAACGUCUUAACGAACGCGGUUAGCAACCUGCAGAAAACACACACCCGAACCUUUCGUGCCAGCACCCACGAAAGCGUCCCCAAACAUUACCGUCCACUAUAGGAACGGCACCCAUGCGUUUAAGGCUGCAUGGACAGCACUCAACCGUGGAAAUAGGUUCCUUCCGAAUAGAACCAUAUAACCCUUCGCAUACUCGCGAUGCGGCAUCGGCACACGUAUGAUAGACGUGGCGAAACAACCGUGCCAAUAGGUCCGUUGGAAUCGGACCAUAUCAACCUUCGUAUGGAUCACAUACGGAACCUGCGCACGUAUGAUAGACGUGGGCGAAAACAACCGUGAAGAUAGGGUCCCUUGAAUGGAACUCCCUAUCAACCCUCGCAUACUCAUGAUGCGGAACUCGGCACACGUAUAACAGACAUGGCGAAGUGCUGGAGGAGUUAGCAACAUAACCAGAUACUUAUUAGUCACCUGAAACAACCCCAAAAUCCCCUAAGGCCUCUCGCACUAAGUCAUCCUUAACGCCUGUACGAGAUUUUCGAAGGGUUCUUGCAACUUUUACAUUUCCAAAGAAGUGUUUAGGGCUCCUUGGGUUCUCUGAUAUGCUGAACUCGGCUCUGGUACCAAGCUGUGGCGGAACCACCUCGGAUUAGCUUGAUUAAGCAGGGUUGGGCCGCCUAACAUGCGACACUCCUGCCUAAACCGAGUUAAUACGAAGUGCCGUCGGAUUUCAUCCGAUUUAACCACUUAAACAGGAUCGCGUUCAGCAAACCCACCCGAAGGUGAGCGGUUACAGAGAAUACAACAAGUCCACUGAGUUUAAACAGUCUUACUCAAGAGUUUGGUCAUAAAAUUUUAACAUCAGAGUUUUAACAAAAGACAACAGGAAACACUAGCGGAAGACUUCGUCGGGGUCGGACGUCCGGGCGAGGCCAGCCAGAACAUCACUGAGUCCUCUCCUCGCCGUCCGAGGAGGGGUCCCACUCGACCGUCCAGCCUGGCGGGAGCUGGGGCGGCCAAGCACCAACAAGAGAGGGGUCGGGAACUGCAACUUCACCUGAAAAACAGGAGCCACAACAAGGCUGAGCUACUAAGCUCAACAAGACUUAACCGGGGAGGAGCCAACUACUCUCCCAACUAGACAUGCAGGGCUUCUUGGCUGAGGGGUUUGUCUUGCCAAAAGCACUAAGUAACCUAUCUUCAAGUUUUAGCUCCGGUUCUAGAUUUACUUACCAGUCUAGGUUGUGCAACCUAUUCUAAGCAAACAUCGAGCCAAACAUGUGUUUAUAUAAAGCAACAUCAUUGCCAUCAUCAGAUUCCUCGAUUACUCAGGGUGACAUAGCGAUCAAGCAAUCUCAAACUGUGAGAGGCAGACGGAUCGAUUCGAGUUCUUUAACCAUGCAUGGUGAAACUAGCCCCACGACAUCCGCGCACCCGGAGGUCGCUUCCUGUGUCGGCCUUCCCCAUCGAUCCCCUAACCCGUGUCGGGCCCAUUUCCUUUGGUGCAAGGUUCCACAGACCCGGCCUCUGCCGUCCUGUGACCACGCUUUGCCACCACGUGCGACAACCAGCAGGGGAAACUCCGUUCCAAGAACAAUGGGGCGACCGCUCACGUCUAGGUUCAAUCAGGUACUAGGCUUCCUCAUCCCAUACUAAGUAUGAGGCUAGUACUUUCAAACACUUGAUCACGAACACCACCAUUGUCGGGCCUUAUCAAGUUUUCAUAGACAGACGGGGCCAUCAUCCGACCACCAAAGAGUUACCAACCCUGCCCCGUCCAUCGUCCUUAUAGUUGUAACAGGAGAGUAAACAUGCAACUCCUACCACUCGCGAGUGACAGGAGAUCACUCGACUUUUACCGUUUCCUAUUUAAGCAACGCAGCUACUCGGUCCCACAGCUAGUGUUCAGAUCAUGGGUCACUGAGUUAUGCAUCUAGGGUUUCACACAACUCCUAUACGUAAAUGCACAAGAUGCUAUUCGGAAGGCAUGUGCAAGUUUGGCAAACACGUAGGAUUUUCAUGCAACCGGGGCUUGCCUGCAAACAAAGAGGGCGGAAACUGCUCGACGUCGAGGGCGGCUUCGACUUCUGCGGGCGGGAACUCGGCUACAGCUUCUUCUUCGGGCGCCGGGUGCAGCUCGUAGAAGCCGUCAGUGAGGUGCAGCUCUACACGGAUGCAAUGCAAGGGUUAGCUUAACGUUUUGAUGUGACAGCAACACUGGCUCUCCUGAGCCCAGAAACUUGCGACAGAGAGCAGGAGUUGGAGACUGUUUAAGAGAGCUGAUGCUGAUCAACAGGUAAGGGUAGGGAAGAAACGAGUGGUCUGAUCCUUGAACUAGAGGGUGUGAUAACUGGGAUCCUCGGACGUAAGCGCUGAAGGGUUCCCACGUUUUACACUUACACCCUUAAGUUGAAGAAAAAGAUCACAGCCAGACCCUCGGUCGAGGCGGACAAAGGUCGGCAAACAGACAGGGUCGGACGAGACGGAACUGGGGUCGGGUGGGUAGGAGGGGUCGGUCGAGGCGGACUUAGGGUCGGCACUCACCUUCUUCCUGAAAGGAAAGCUUGGGGGUCGGGAAGAGGCAGACUUGGGCAUGGAACUAAAGCUUUGAGCAGGAACUACGGCUGGCGGUGCUCCGGCGGCGGUGCUUCUUGCAGAUCGCAAGAGAGCUCUUGCGCAGCACAAGAGAGCAAGCUGCGGGGUGACUUGGAUGAACUGAAAAGGAACUGGGAGAAGAACUUCUCAAGAUUGGGCGGAUGGCGCUAGGAGCUUGAGCAGGGAGCUAGCGGGAACUAAGGGCAACAAAAGCGGAGGGAACUCCGGUGACGAGCAUUCCUUUUAUAGCUGCGGGAGCAGAUGAACGGAAACAUCGCGGAGAGAGAGAAGGGAAGCGGCGCGAAGGCCGGGGAGAAGCAAUGGAGUGCUCUGCCGUGGCGGCGAUUGAGCAAACCGGGCGGUGCAACAGAACUCCGGGGGUGAUGCCAGCGAUCAUUGCGCUACUCCGUCAGGGCGGCAUAGGCGCGGGUAGACCGGUAGUUGAGAUUUGGCGGAAAGCGGGCGUCGCCGUGCGGAAGAGGUGAUAGAAGCGACCGGUUAAACGGCGCUAGGAUCGAGGGCGCACAGGUGGAGAGAACAAAUGGACGCGGCGCGGGGGAGAGCGCGGAACAACAGAUUGUCGGGCGGCGUCUGACAGGGCGGGGAAAGGGACUGUCGCGGCCGCGGUCGGGGUUGGCGGUGGGGGAAUCGUCGUGUAGCGACGACCGGGCGGCGCAACUGUUGCUGGAAAGGACGGAAAAGACGGGCGACAUCGGUCUCCGGAGCUGAGAUCUGGUAUCGUGAUGAUGGGCGCGGGGAGCGAGGCUCUGCAGAAAGGGGUGCAGAGGGCUUCCGCUGCUAUUGGGGGAAGAGGGCGCGGGAACCCACUCGGUCGCGUGCCAGAGACAAAACUGAGCGGUGGCGUCGGAGAAGACGAGCCACGCGGCAGGAAGGCUCUGAGGCAGCCAUGCAACUCGAGUGCGGCUGGUGCGGGGGAUCUGGAAAAGAUCUCGCGGGUCCACCGGGGGAAAAGAUCUGACGGUUGAGGAAGAUUAACAGGAUCCGACGGAUGGCUGAACUCGCUGGGGUCGGGAAAAAGGAACGAAGCGGUCGGGGUCGGAUCUCAGGGGUCGGAACCGGCGGAAAACUGUGCACUUAAGUGCGAUCGUCAGAACAACUGAUGGAGGUUUAAGGGCCGAGAUCAAACCUAACUGGGAAAGAUUAGGGGUCGGUCGUUACAGUAACACUCGGCAAAGUGACCAAAUUUUUCCUGUUUUUAUGGUUCGGUCACGUAUAACGGAUACCCCUCAAACAAACAUCACAGACAUCACACAUAUUUCAUAAUAAACAUCACAGGCAGUUCAUUCACAACCACAAAUAGUCACAAGUAAUCCACAAAUGCAACACAACCACAAAUAGUCCUUAGUAAUUCACAAAUGCAACACAACUAAAAUCUUGCCGAGUGUUCACUGAGGCCACAAGCUCCACUGCGACCACGCUGGGUUGUGAGGCUCAUUCGAUCCCACCGAUUGAUUCUGCACAAAGGAGAAGAGAUUGCAUGUGUGAGAAUAGAUUAAACAACACGUACGAUUGCAUUUGUGCUCUAGUAUGAUUGCUUAAGUACUAGUUGGUAACAAGCAUAUAGCAUUAAUCCGUUUAAUUCACAUAUUUCCAUUCUUUGUUUCUAGUUUCUAGUUUCUAGUGUUUGGGCUUCUUUGUAAGAUUGAUUCUUCAUAAAUUAGAAACGGUGAUUAUAAGGUUGUCAAGUGACUCAUAGGAGUAGCUGUAGGAGGUGGAGGUGGAGGAGGAGGGAAUAGGUUCGGUGGCGGAGGAUGACCCAUCCUCUCAAAAACACCCUGCAUAUACUGGAACAUCUGCUCCGCCCUCUGUUCAGCUGCCGCCGCCCUCUGUCGAUCUGCCUCCAUCCUCGCCUCCAUCUCCUCCCGUUGCUUUCUUUCUUCUUCCACCUGGGUCUACAAUAUUUCAUCCUAAUGUUACAAUGCAAAGCAAAAGUAUGUAAAAAUCAACGAAUGAUGUUACAAUGGGCCUACAAUAUUUCUUCCACCUCGGAAAAUGCUAAGGUUCGAUUCAUCUUCGCUAGCAUUGUAACAAGGGGGUGGGUUAUGCACGCUAGGAAGGUUGUCAGCAUAAGUUUUUGUUGUGAAGUUUGACACCUCCUCCAGAAUAUAUGCCUCUGCAAUGGAUGGUUCAAUUUUGUAUUUAAUUUUACAUUUAGUUCAAAGAACCUUUUGACAUCUCUCAAUUGAAUAGCAUCAAUGGCCCUGCACAGGCCCCCCAUUCAUGCCUCAUACAGGAGGUUCAAAAUCAAAUAUUGCAUCGGAUUGAAGAAGUCAGGUGGAAAGAUCUUCUCCAACUUACAGAGCAACAUAAGAGCCAUUCUUUCUAUGUCUGCAACCACGGUACGAGAUAACUCCUUAGCACAAAGCUGGCGGAAGAAAUUGCUCAACUCCGCCAAAACUAGCUAGACAUGCUCAGGGACAUAGCCUUGAAUCAUCACCGGAAGUAGCCGCUCAAGCCAUAUGUGGUAGUCAUGACUUUUGAGCCCAUUGAUUCGCAUAGUAGCUAAGUUCACUCCCCUCUUCAGAUUUGCUGCAUACCCAUCAGGGAACAUUAACAUUUUGAACCGUUCUAGUACUUCCCUCCUUUGGGCCCUCGUCAGGAUGAAAUCGGCCUUAGGCUUUCUCCAUGACUUGCCACCUCUAGGAGGCGCCAUGUCUAGCUUUGGUCUAUUGCAUAACCUUGCUUGAUCCACUCUAGCCUUAACAUUAUUCUUUGUCUUAUCAGGAAUGUCCACGAUUGUACCAAAGAUUGCCUCGCGCGACAUUCUUUUUAGUGUUCAUUACAUCAAUAUUAUGUGGAAGAAGAAGAUCAUCAAAAUAGGAAGGUUCCACAAGCACGACUUCUGAGUCUAGGCAUGUUGCUCACCCUAUCCCAGAAAACCAUCUCCUUGUGCAUUGACCUUGAGAGCAUCUAAUUGAGCACAAACCUCGGCACCAAUCAUCAUUUGCGGUUAGGGUCUCUAACUACGACAUCUUUCGUAAAGUUCUUGAUGUCUCGUCUGAAUGGAUAGUCAAGAGGGAGGAAUUGUCGAUGUUUGUCGAACGAAGAAAACUUGCCACCCUUCAUCAACCAAAUGAACUUCAGAGAUGCCUUGCAUACUGGGCAUGGGAACUUCCUGUGAACACACCAGCCGCAGAAUAUCCCAUACGCCGGCAAGUCAUGGAGGGAGUACUGGUACCAAACAUCCAUUUUGAAGUUUGUCUUUGUAGUUCGGUCGUAUGUUCAUACCCCUUCCUCCCAAGCACGGACCAAAUCAUCAAUCAGAGGCUCCAUGUACACACUCAUAUUAUUCCCUGGGUGUUCAGGAUUAUCAACGAUAAGAAUAUGUUCUGUCAUUGAAAGAGGACGCCAGGGGGGAGGUUGAGGGGGAUAACAUGGGCCAACAAGUGUAUGGGGCAGCCGCCAUUCCAUAAGGAUUGAACCCAUCUGUUGCCAGCGCAACACAUACAUUACGAGCCUCUAGAGCUUUCUCACGAUGCAUCACAUCAAACCUUGUCCAUGCUUCACCAUCGGAUGGAUGUACGAGCUUCUAAGGAUUGUAUCGACGCCCGUAUUUGUGCCAUAUCAUCUGUUUCGCGAAUUCCUCAACCAUAUAAAGUCAUUGGAUCCUCGGUAUGAAUGGAAGGUACCGUAGGAUCUUCACGGGGAUUGCGAGCUACCUCUUCUGACCAUCACCAGAGUCUACCUCCAGGAACCUAGAGGAUUUACACUUCACAUAGUACUUUGCUUCCGCGUGUUCUUUCCUAAAUAAGAUGCAUCCCUUCGGACAAGCAUGUAUCUGCUCAUAUGGCAUCUUAAGUGCACGAAGGAGUUUUUGUUCCUCAUACAUGCUCUUUGGCAGAAUGUGAUCAUCCGGGAGCAUGCUAUCAAAAACUAUCAACAUAACAUCGAAGACGUCUCGACUCAAGCUAAACUGGGACUUCACAGCCAUUAGGCGUGCAAUGGCAUCCAGUUGAGAAAGCUUGGUAUGCCCGUGAAGGGGUUGCUGUGCCGCAGACAACAUUUCGUAAUACGCCUUUGCGGUAGCCUCUAGCUCCUCCUUCCUAUGUCCUUCAUCGAAGUGUGCUUCAUGAUAGUCAUUUAACAUGUCUCCUACCUCGGCAUCAGCAUCAUAAUCCUUGAUGUGUUGUCUCACGACCUAUUCUCUCCCACGAUCGGCUUCACCAUGGUAGAUCCAUCGGGUAUAGUCUAUCGUAAAUCCAUUCUUGCAAAGAUGUUUACCCAUGACCACCUUUGUUUGUCGACGCGUGUUUGCACAUUUGCUGCAAGGACACCAAGUAGCACGCUCUCCUUAAGCCCUUGCAAAUGCUAGUUCCAAGAAAGCAUUGGUCUUCUCAAUCCAUUCAUUGGUCAACGAAUCCUGACUAGCUCGGGCCGUGUACAUCCACUCAUGGUCAUCCAUCCUCUAACAUAUCAACAAGUAAUAUAAAAAUCAAUUGCAUCUACAUAUUCCUAUAAUGUAUAAUAUGUGAAGAUAGGUCCUAAUCCCACCUGAGAAUGUGUAGAUAGGGUUAGUUUUCAUGCUCUACUCCUAUCCGAGAUAGAAUUUCGGUAGCACCUUCCCGCUGUUCUCCAAAUACAUGUCCUGGUAGGGAGAUUGUGUAUCCAGAGAACAACAUGGAGAUGAUGCCGAAACUCUGUCUCCGAUCGGAGUAAACCAUGGAAACUAACCCCAUCUACACAUCCUCGGGCUAUCCAAAAAAUGUGGACAAUUCAAAAUAGAUACGAUUAUAGAUAUGUAAAGAUCUGCAUAUUUCUAACCGUAUCUCUUUUGAAAGGGAGACGCCUAGCUAGGUUACGUGACAUACGAACAUGAUAUGGAAAGAGGGGUCUUUUAUACCUCACCUUGCUGUUCUGCAAAGUGACAAGUCGAGGACGGUGCAAUAGCCUCUCCUAAAAAAAGGAACAUAAUAGUGUCAAUCGUAAAUUUCGGCAGCACCUCCCCUGCACGGUGAGGUUUCCAAAACCUGCAACAAAUAAAACGGCACAAUGGCCAACAACCACAUACACACCAAACCAACAGCAUGAUAUCUGACAACCAUUGAUGAACAUCUUGUAGGAAGUUGCAUAUAUUUAACAACUCAUGCUAUAUCUCUUGCUCUACCACUAGGCUAUAAAAAAAAUAGAAAAUGUGUAAUGCCAAACUUCAUAGCUAGGAUUGAAAGACACUACAAAAUAGUACAUGGGGUCUCACCUAGUGCAGUGGUACUAUAUCACAUUCAUAACUUUUGACAAAUUUAUCAGUACGUAGCAAUACAAUUUGUUGAGUGAAAUAAUUUCACAGAAGACAUGUUAUGAACUGUGUGAUUCCAUGAGCACACAAUAACAAUGCCAAAGGAAAUUCAUCUCUAAGCUUCUCAUUGCUGUUAUGGACAUGUUAUGGAUGGUGUGAAAUUCAUCUCUAAGCUUCUCAUUGUUGUGUUGUGCUUAUUUUGUGCACUUAUGCAGGCCCGGCGAUGCGGCGGGGGGGGAGGGGGGGCGACCCGGCGGCGGGGGCCGGCGGCGCGGUGUGCUGGCGGUGGGGCUGGGGGUUGAGGGCGGUGGUGUGCGUGUGUUUGGGUGAGGGAGGGUGAGGGCCGGUGGAUAUUAGGCCAAUUUUUCGAGUGCCCGAGAUCUAUCACUCGGCAAAGCCAAUUUUGCGGAGUGUCCGAUCCGAGACACUCGACAAACAAUUUUUUUCCAUUUUCCUCCCUUUCCUUCUUUUCCAUAACGUGAUUUACUAAAUUUGUUCCAAUGUACUUUCAAAAUACCUUGUAAACAAUGCAUAUUUGAUUUUUCUACUAAUAUUAUUCAACUAUUUCAUGCAGUUAUAGCUCAAAUUCAAUUUAUAUCAAUUAAAAUUCUAUAAUUGCAGUUAAUAAAUUAAAAUUAUCAAACAUAUCCCAAAAAUUACCAAAAUUUGACAUGAAACAAUCUAUGUUGUCUAUUGCCUAUACAAAAAGUUUUGAAGUCAAACCCCAAUUCGACCGUCACUUUGACUCCAAAUCUUACGGGAUCCUUCUCAACGCUACGAUUCUUCUUCGGAGAUGCUUCGGUUUGUAAGCAUCGUAUGUGAAAAAUUGUGCGAAACCUUCUUAAUUUUUUACCAUAGCCUCCACGUACGAUAUCAUGAGAUCUUGACAAAUCUCUCAUGAUUUUCAGACUUCAUUUGCUUUUUUUAGAAUUUAAAAACCAUUCGGCCGCACGUUUGUGGUCGUGUUUCGUGAACAAGAUGUUCAAAAUUUUCUUUCAUUUCUCGGGUAAGACCUCACACUGGACUCAAUAACAUGAAUAUCAUUUUUUUACUCAUUUUAUUCUAUUAUUUGAAUCACUUGGAGUUCAAAUUUGACUUAUACCAAAAAAAUUCCUCUAAAUGCGAUAAAUUAAUUAAGUAUAGCAAACAGAUCGAGAAAUAUACCUAAUUUUAACAUGGAGUACAACAUGUUGUGUGGAGAGUAGAAAAAGUUUGGAGGGCGGGAGAGAAAAAAACUUAUUAUUUUGCCGAGUGCUAAUAAUAAACACUCGGCAAACUUAAGUCUUUGCUGAGUGCAAAUAAAAAACACUCGGCAAACUCGGCAAACCUUGUCUUUGCCGAGUGUCACUAAACAGACACUCAGCAAACCUUGUCUUUACCGAGUGUCACUAACGGACACUCGGUAAAGUUCUAACGGCCGACGCUGUGGUUGACGGCCGUCGCACGUGGCGGUCACGUGGCAGUCUUUUGCCGAGUGUUUAUUGUUUGCCGAGUGUCAGGUUGUUGUUUGCAAGUGUUUUCUUUCCUGCACUUGGCAAACAAGUUUUUUGCCGAGUAUUUCUCUGCACUCGACAAAGAGGGUGUUUGCCGAGUGCCCGAUAGAAUGCACUCGGCAAACAACCAGGUACUUGGCAAAAUUACUGUUUCCGGUAGUAAUACAUGGUAUCUUAAGAUUCAUCAGCGUUUUACAAACUGAGCACCAGGCAGUCAAACCAUAGUCAGCAUUAUAGACACUAGUAAGCCACCAUAGUACAAUCCGACAAGUACCUGUACACUUUGCAGCUUCUGUUAUAUUGAAGACCACUAUAUUAGGGUAAGAUAAGUUCGAUCAACGUAUUAGCUAGAUCAGCAACAGCUUCACUUCAGUUCUGCGGGAAGAGCCAUGUCGCACGCUUCCAUGACACUGCUGGCAGAGGGGUGGAGACCUUGCCGUCCUUCAUGCUGUAGACACUGCAGGAGGCCACACUAGACCGAAGGUGAUCCUCAUCCUCAUUCUCCAGGAAGAAGAUGGAAUCCCCUGGCACCUCGUCAUGAGAGACACAAACAGAUAUGGCCAAGAAAAAACAGCACGCGUCAGCGAAGAAACACCACGCGCCAAGAAAUCCGAAGCAGAAACGCUAACGCGUGGCCGGCGCCGAGACGGACAGGCAAUGCGUCGAACACCUUGCGUGCGCGAGCCGCGGCGAGGGCAAGAGGCGCAGAGGGAGAGAGGAGCGGCGAGCGCAGGGCAGGCAAUCCCCCUGCUGCUGAUCGGGGCGGAGGCGGUGGCUGCCGCCGGCCGAGCUGGGGUCCCUGGGUUGGGCUGUGCGCAGUUUGUGGGAUGACUAGAACCACAGAGCCACAGCCCACAGAGGUGGCUGGCCUCGUCAAGAAAUUCGUGAUUUUAUAAAUUUCUUAGAGAAGGAAAUCUGAAAUUGAAAGUUGGAAUGGAUUUAGAUCGUAACUCGAUAUACUAUUCGUAAAUUUCAAAUAAUGUUUCUUUGAACUUCUAAGUGCAAGUUUUUAUAAUGAUUUUUCACGGCGUCCUUAAAUGAUGUAGUCCAUUAUUACCUUAGUUGGACCUGAUCGCCCACUCCUAAUCUUCGUCUUUUAAAAUAUGAGACUUACUUUGCAUCCAUAAAUGUUUUUCAGUUUAAAUUUGAAACUUUUCACAUACAUCACCAUGUACUCAAGAGUUUCUUUUUAAUGAAAUUUUAAAUAAGUGUUUAAUAAAAAUCCAAGCCAUUUUCUAUAAUAUGUCUUCACCUGAGUUAAACAUGCAUGGUCGACUCGCUCGUAUUUUUCCUUUUGAACAAAAAUCACUCCUUUUUAUGGUCGAUGUUUGUAAAACUUGGAGGCAAUGGGUUUUUGGUUAACAUUCACACUGCCGCUCCUCAAUUUUCUUGUUCUAUUCCAUUUGAACGAAACGGGGGUUUUUUAUUUUCAAUCGCUAAAAAACUAUGUACCUUUCGAGUCAGAUUAUGUAAGCCACUGUAUGACAUGGUUGUAGUCUUGUAUGCUUGUAACAAAGGACACCGCCGCCCAGAGUAUCUUAGCCAGUUCUCACAUCUACUCUUAUUUUAUUGGGGAAUUCUUUGUAAAAAAGGUGCUUGCUAAAUCAUUAUCCAAAUUCAUCAAUUUUAGUAAAUUGCACAAAUGUAGGAAUAUAAAACUACCAUUAUCCUAUAAAGAAACUUCCAAGUGCGUGGAUCUAGUUUGAGGUAAGAGACAGUGAAACACACUAAUGCACUAAGUCAUACAUCCUUGUGGGAAUUAUAUAGGCUCACAGUGUGAUUGCAUGCAUUAUGAAAUCAAAGAUGUACGGCAAUUUCAUCGAGUUAUUCAAGUGGGAGUUCGCAGAUUGCGUGUUCGGUUUGCUUGAACAAUGUGACUAUAGAACACAAAUGAUCUUUCUAUUUUUGAGCAUUAUUACCACUUGAGCAUCAGAAGUUCAGCUAGCAAUCAAGGCACUGAUUGUUUACCUUAAGAUAGCCUUACUACCCGGAUGGAUCAUGGAUAUUCCACCCCCAAAAGUUCAUAAUAAGAAAUGUAUAAACCGAUAACAACGGUAAGAUCAACAAACAAGCUUGCAACCUACCCGACUAGAGACAACCUUACAAUGACAAGCUCACAGAAAAGGUUCAUAACAGCAGAUAGCAUGCUACCUCAAGGUUCAUCAGGUGUUUACAAAUUGAGCAUAACAUGAUUAAUAUGUAGUCAUCAUCACAGGCACCAGUAGACCACCAUACUACGAUCAGACAAGUACUGACGCUUAGCAGCUUCCAUUAUACCAGAUAGCACUAUAAUAAGACCAGAUUAAAACCGAUCCAAGCAUUCAGUUAGUACAGUGACAGUAUCACUUCAGCCCUUAGGGUAAGAGCCAUGUGGCUAACACCGCGCGGGGACUCCACGACACCAUUGGCAGAGGGUUGUAGACCUUGCCGUCUCUCACAUCGUAGACACUGCAAGAACUUGAGGGGUCCUCACUGUAACAAUGGUAAUACUCCUCGUUCUCCAUGAAGAAGAUGCGAUCCCCUGGCAUCUUGUUAUGAGAAAUGCAGACAGAUCUGCAGCACCGUCGACGAUAGAAACAACACCUGGUCCUCCCCUAGUGUGGUUACCUUGGCCAACCGUGACUGCCCGAAAUUGGCCUCAUACACCUCAAACCUGUUCCGUUCAGCUUUAAGAACAUCAAUUCUAUCCCAGUGUAGUGCUUUCAACUGGAGGUCUAUCUUUCGGCACACCAACAGCAACGCACCACGAGAUUCAACUAGGUAGGUCAAACUUAGAAUUUGGACUCCAGGUAUAAAAAUGUAGCUGAAAGCUCUAAGGCCACUGAUAAAUUGUUGGAUUCGAGAAAACCAUGGAUUGCCUGUGCUGUGGUCCACGCUGAUGUCAACAGCAAAAAGUGCAUAGAACUUUCCCUGAUGGAACACAAUGUCAACAAACAGAGCAGCUCGUUGAUCCAUAUGUACGGACCACCAGGAGGUGCCCCCUGGCUGGCAAACUGCAAUCCGAGCGCUCUCUGUCACUCAUGAACCUGAAUAUCGCUGCGAUGAGGUGAGGCGAACAAAAUAUAAUUUUGGACGCAUUCCGCUCCUCUUCUUCGUCCAUUUCCAUCCAUGCAUGGCCUGCCUCGUCAACGGACUGAUCACCCACAUCCCACAUUCGAGCGCGGGUCAGAGCUGGAAGUGUCACAGUCUCGUUGGAGAAAGGAUCCCUCAGGAAGCAGUCGUCCUCGCCCGAGAACACCAACCAGUUGCCAGUGCCACAGGCGUUAGUGUACCCCGUGCAGCCAGGGAAGUGGAACGGCGCUUCCUGGGAGGCUGCACACGGUGGCACCUGGGAGCAGGAGCAUCGGCAUCGGCGGGGGCACGCCCCCCUGCUGCGCGGCCGCGCGCCACUGGGGGGGCAGACGGCGGCGAACCGGACGCGGUCGACGUGCACAGGCAGGCGGCCGAGGACGAGGCCGGAGAGCUUCACCGGGAUGUCCGACCACGACGCCGGCGCCUCCUCCAUGGGUGCAGCCAACCUUGCAAUUCAAUCGAGAACACAGCACGCCGUCAGAGAAGAAAUCGCAAGCCGGAGGAAAAACGCCAGCACGCGGCCCGCGCGCGCGGGGGCGGACACACCGGCAAUGCGUCGAGCACCUUGCGUGCGCGACCCGCGGCGAGGGCAGGAGGAAACGAAGGAGAGUGGGGCCGGUGAGUCCAGGGAAGGAGGAAUGGAGGUGGGUUACCGGAAAUUGACGGCCCGCGGCGGAGGAAUCGCGCUCCCGCUGCUGCUGUUCGGGCGGAGGCGGGGGUGGGGGCGGCCGCCGGCAGAGCUGGGAUGGAGAGAGCUGAGCGGGGGUGGAGUAGUCAGUAGUGUGAACGGUUUGAACGGCUGACGUAGUUGACCUCGCCACGUGGCGAGUGAGCUAAUAAAAAAAUCUGUAAACUAAGUAAGGCCUUGUUUACUUCCCAAUUUGGAAGUUGCAAAAUUGGCAUUUUGCCAUAAAUGCGCAACUGUAGCGUUUCGUUUGUAUUUGUGAAUUAUUGUCCAAAUAUUGACUAAUUAGGCUCAAAAGAUUCAUCUCGCAAAGUACAACAAAACUGUGCAAUUAGUUUUUGAUUUCGUCUACAUUUAGUACUCCAUGUAUGUACCGCAAGUUUGAUGUGAUGGGGAAUCUUCUUUUUGCAUAGUGUCAAAGUUGGGAGUUUGGAGGGAAGUAAACAAGGGCUAAAUCCAAAAGGAACCCUACAUAGAUGUUCUAAUUUUUAAAACAAAAAUUAUGUGUUGGUGGAGAUGUUACAAAAUUUUUAGUACAAAUAGAUCUGUGCAAAUCUCGAGCGGGCCGUCAAAAAGCCCGAUUUCUUUGGAUCCAAAAUCUCCACCCAAGCUCGGCCAUUAACUCUAUCGGGUCUAAUUUGGGCCAAGCUCGGGCCAAGCCGCCCAUCAUUUUCUAGUGUAAAUUUAAUUUAUUUUAUUAUUUAGGCUGGGUCAAGCCCACCUUUUUUUGGGCCGUGAAAAUCAGCGCCACGCUCGAUUCGAGCCUAUUUUGCUCAGACCUAAGUACAAAUAUUUUGGAAAGACUGAUUAAAUGUGAUUUUUAUGCUAUAGUGGUUAGUGGCACAUGAUUUUCUAUGUUUUUUAUAAUUUUAUAAAUGUAAUUAAAACUUGAAAUAAAAUUUUGAAUGUAUUUAGAACAUCACCUCUUCGUGAAUUCCCGAUGUUUCUCUGCACUUCAAAACACGAGCAAAGCCAGUGUUUGGUUUGGGGUCAGUAGUUCCUCAGUCACAAAGCAUACGGCAUCUAAGAUUUGUACUAGACAAACUUCUUUGUCUAUGACUAAAUUUGUAGAAAAAUACAUAAAUAUUUACAGCAUCAACUAAUUUCCCUAGAUAAGUCAUGAAAUAUAUUUUCGUAGCGCAUUUAUUUGAUGUUGUAGAUUGAUAUAGUACAUGUUAAUAUUCUAUUUUUUACGUACUCGGUUAAUGUUACAAAAGUUUAGCUUAAGACAAAACUAAAACAAUUUAUGAACGGAUGGAGUAUAUUGAAAAAUCAUUGGCCUUAAUGAAUAUGUUGUCACUUCCUCUAUUCAGUAUUUCAGUCCAAAGAAGAGAGUUAAAAACAAGCGCACAUAUACAAGGAUGCAACAGAGAUUGGUGAGAAGAAAAGUGCACAAUAAAUCAACUAAAUUCAGUCUGGUUUCCUCUGGUGCUGAUGGGCACCAUUCUGGAUUUUUCCAGGAACCUGCGGAACAAAAAGAAAAAUGUAAGCACAACAAUGAAUACUGAUGGGUUAUCAUCACAAUGGGCAUGCGUGAUCAAUAGGUAAGUACCUCUCGUUCAGUUGAGAGCAUCUUAUGCUUAUUCUCCAUCUCAAUUCUAAGGGUGGGACAGUUGGGAUGGAGGUCAGCUGCGUGUGCCAAUGCUGCCUUCCCUUCCUCCACCUCCGCAGCAGUAGCGUCCUCACACUGCUGGAUCGUAGCAGUAACCCUCUGGAGCGAAGUACCAGCAACAUUUUCAAAGCCAGGCUGAAUAAUGUCCAUAUCUUUUAUGAACCGCACAUAAACAGAAAACACAAGGGAUUCAAGGCUUGGCAUCACGAUGGAAGGUGCUGUGGUUGCAUCGUUGUCUCUUUCGCAGCUGUGCGAAUCAAACUGGACAAACGAAAAGGGAGUGUGAAAGAAUCUCAACUUCCGGAAGUAGCGGUGCAGAUGAUCACCAGUGGUCUUCCUUAUGCUUAAUAGUUUGGUGUGAUCUGAACUCAGUUUGAGAUAACAGAGCUCUGGUAGCCUCCCAAGGGUUUCCAUGUCCUGUUCUUGCACCAAAUUCACUGUCACAUCCAGAUGGGUGAGGUUCAAAAGAAGUGUCGAGUCCAUCCAUACCGGUAGUGCAGAGAACUUGAAGCAUUCCAAACACAUCUGUCCAAGACGAAGAGGAAGAGCCUCAAAACAUGCUUCUUCACCCGUGAUGCCUCUCACCAAUGCUGAGCCAAAAACACAUAAGGUGCGGAUCUUGUGGAGAUUUGCAAGCGAUUCCAGCAAAUCUCUCUCCAUGCUCUCAUCGUUUACAUGAAUGGUCAGGUCCUUGACGAGCUGCCUUGUUGACGCAUCAUCAGCUGGCCAUUACCUUGAGCUCUUGCAACGAAGUAAGGUUCCUGAUCAAACAAGAUGGCACUAUUAUACUGUCAUUGACAUGUAGGCACAACAGUUGUUUCAACAGGCGCACACCCUCCGGCAGCUGUUGCAUUCAGUGUCUGUAGAAACUUGAGAUCUCCAGCUUCCUUGGGGAGCUCAUCAAUUUGUGUAUUCAAAAUUCCAAGAUACCUCGAUCAGGUGGCAUAAACUCCCUAAAUGCCGUAAUCUUCUAUAGUUAAAACACGUAGAACUUGAAAACAUGAUGCUACCACAUUAAUAUCGCCAAACCCAUGUUAACUAGCUGAGUGCGGUUGUGCUCUUCAACACUCCUACCGUGCACGGCAAAUCUGCGAGUAUUGCUACCGCCUAUGAGUUUUUGUUGGUCAUUGUUGUCCAAUAUAGUGGCCAAAUUUUCUUCACUCGAUAGUGAACGAACCAGAUCAAGUACCAUAUCAUGAACACCACAAACAUAUACAUACCCGUUAUCCUCUAACUCCAUCGGUUGGAUCAUGCUUCUAUUUAUUAGCUCGUUGAAGUACCCUUCCCCGAGCUCAAAUAGUUCUAUCUCUGUUGUUGCUUGUUCAUUCUGAAUAAACACUUUAGCUAUCCACUUCCAUAUCAAAAGAUUUUACUCGAUCCCAUAUUCUUCCCGAAAUAAACUUACAUACAGCUAGCAAGCCUUUAGAUGUGAAGGGUGUAAGAAAAGGAGGAAACAUGGUUGCCUAUCUUAGCUUGCCACGGUUACGCGUUUAUAAAGGGUGAAUUCACCAAGAGAUUUACAUCGAUACGGUUGUGACCGUCUAGAACUAGUUUGCUUCAUAUAUUUGAAUUACAACAGGACACAACCUAUCUCUAAGCAAACUUAUCCAAACCGGCCUAGAUCACAACCACACAAUAGGACUCUAUUGAGUCCAAACCAGAUUACAAUCAUAACUUCUCUUCCUCUUGAGAUUUACAUUGCUCUUGAAUUCUUCUAGCUUACCAGCCGAUAGUGCUUUAGUGAAUCCAUCUACAACUUGAUCAUGAGUAGACACAAACCAUACUUGCAAUUGCUUCUUAGUUACCCUCUCUCGAAUAAAAUGUAAAUCAAUCUCAAUAUGCUUAGCCCAUGCAUGAAAGACUGGAUUAGCUAAAAAAUAAGUAGCGCCUAAAUUGUCAAACCACAAAAUUGGAGGUUGCACCAGCCGAACACCAAGCUCCAAAAGCAAUGAUUCUGACCAAAUCAACUCAGCUGUAGCAUUAGCCAUAGAUUUAUACUGUGCUUCUGUACUAGAUCUAGGUACAGUAGCCUGCUUUCUAGCACUCCAAGAAACAAAUUUUAGGAUCAAGAAAGAUUGCAAAUCCUCUAGUAGACUUUCUAUCAUCAACACUUCCAGCUCAAUCAGCAUCAGAGAAAGCACUCAAAACCAUAGAACUUGAUUUCUUAAUGUGUAACCCAAUAUUCAAUGUAAAUUGCACACAAUGAAGAAUUCUUUUAACAACAGUCCAAUGAACUGAAGUUGGUGCAUGCAAAAACUGACAUACUUUGUUAGCAGAAAAGGCGAGAUUUGGUCGAGUGAGAGUCAAAUAUUGCAAGGCUCCAACAUUGCUUCUAUAAUGAGUGCUAUCUUCUGGACCAAGCGGAUCACCCUCAAAACUUGAAAGUUUUUCCGAACUAGACAAUGGAGUUGUAGAACCCUUGCAAUUAUUCAUGCCAACAUGCAUUAAAAUUUCUUGCGCAUAAUUUUCUUGAGAGAAUAACAAACCAUCAUUACUUCUUUGAACUUUAAUACCCAAAAAAUAAUGCAAGUCACCAAGAUCUUUUAGAACAAAGUCCUUGCGUAGAUCCAAUAAUAAAGUUGAAAUUGCUUCACUAGAAGAGCUAGUAACAAUAAUAUCAUCAACAUAUAUGAGCAUGUAAAUAGUUACUCCUGAUUUUUGAUAAAUGAACAACAACGUAUCUGAUUUUGAAGCAACAAAACCAAGCACAAUUAACUUAGUGCUCAAUCUUGCAUACCAGGUACAUGGAGCUUGGUUAAGACCAUAAAUCGCUUUAUCAAGCUUGCACACUAGAUGUGGGGCACCAUCUUUCUCAAAUCCUGGAGGCUAUUUCGUAUAAACCUCCUCUUCCAAAACACCAUGUAGGAACACGUUUUGAACAUCUAGCUGUCGUAAGUACCAGCCUCUAGAGACCGCCAAAGACAAAACAAGCCUCACAGUAGCAAUCUUGACCAUUGGAUUGAAUGUGUCCUCAUAAUCAUUCCAUAUCUUUGUCGAAAUCCUUUAGCUACCAGUCGUGCCUUGCAUCGAUCAAUCGUCCCAUCAACUUUCUUUUUGACUUUAAAGAGCCAUUUGCAAUCAAUUAAAUUGCAGCCAUCUUUAGGUUCAACUAUGCCACGUGUUGUUUCUAAGCAGUGCUGAAUACUCCUCUUGCAUGGCUUCCUUCCAUCGAGAAUUACCAAGGGCGUUUUGCAAUUUUUUUGGUUCACUAGGAGCAAAAAAUUCCCAUAUCUGAUAGUCCCAUCUGUGAACCUCUUAGGUUUGACAAUGCCAUACUGAAGACACGUACGUCGUUGAAUCGGUGAUGGAGCUUGAUAUGCCGGCAUAGCUGAUCCAGAACCCGGUGCAAUAGAUCCAAAAAUAGGCACAGCUGCCACGGGUGCGCCAGGCGCUGUUGCGGGUGAAGAUGAGUUGCCGCCACCUGCCGCGGGUGCACUAGGCACUGUCGCGGGUGUGAAUGAGCCGCGCAAGCCACCACCUGCUGCGGGUGCGCCAGGGGCAGAGUUCGGGGCGGAUUCCUGCGGCGCAUGGUCAGAAUCCGGAGGUGCAUGUCCCGCCCCCCAACGCAUCAAAGCCGGAGCGUGCGAGACGGAAUCCUAGGACGCGCCGAGUGCGGGCGGAACCAGCUGGGAACUCGCGCCCAACACAGAUACGCCUGUGGCUGCCGGAUUUGUUUGGGAGACGCUGCCAGGGUCUUCUGUGGCCAAAACUCUAGCAGAAAUAGGUUUAGAUGCAGGAUGUUGCUCGGUGCUUGCAGCAAAAUUCUGCCUGUCUGGUUCCUGCAAAAUGUCAGCACCCUCACCAGGAGCAUGUUGUGCACCUAACAUUAGGUGCACAACUUACAUCCCCAUAGCGAAACAAAUGCGGAGGAAGGAGAUUUAUUUCUUGGUGAAUUUGGGCGCUGGCAUUGGGGUGGAGAUGAGCAAAGGGAAAAACUUCUUCAUCAACGACGACAUCUCGAGAAAUAUAGAUGCGACCGGUGGGAAUAUCAAGACAUUUGAAGCCUUUAUGCAUGGCACUAUAACCAAGAAGGCGCAGCGAAUAGAUCGAGAAGCAAGCUUGCGAGAAUUAUAUGGUCACAAAUUUGGCCAACAAGCACAACCAAAGACUCGAAGAGAUGAAUAAUCUGGAGUUUCUUGCAACAAGCGCAUAACUAGAACAUCAUAAUCGAUGACCUUACUAGGAAGAAGAUUAAUGAGAUAGGUGGCUGUAAGAAAGGCAUGAUUCCAAUCUUUCAGUGGCAUGGAUGCAUUAGCGAGGAGAGCGAGACCUACCUCAACUAUAUGGUGAUGCUUCCUUUCGGCUGCAUCAUUUUGUUGAUGUGCAUGGGUGCAAGAACCUCGGUGGGUAAUCCCUACUCUUGAAAGGAGUUUAAUUUCUCAUAUUCUCCUUCCCAAUCUAAUUGUAUAGAUUUAAUUUUGUAGCCAAAAUUUCUUUCUACAAGCUGCUGAAAAUCUUGAAAGACUUGAAAAACAUCAGAUUUUUUCUUAAGCAAGUAGAUCCAAGUGCACUUGCUAAAAUCAUCAAUAAAGCUAACAUAGUAUCUAUGGCGCCCAAUGGAAGGAGGUGCUGGCCCCACACAUCCAAAAAAACAAGAUCAAGAGGAGCUUUAGAUGCACUAUUUGAUAUAUGAUACGGGAGCUGAUGGCUCCUGACCAUCUGACAUGAAUUACAAAUAGACUCUGAAUUAUUGUCACUAACACAAGGAAGCUUAUUUGAGCUAAGGAUUCUUCUACUAUAGGAAAAGCUGGAUGACCAAGUCUACUAUGCCAUCGAGUGAUAGAACGUUUAUUGACUGCAAAAGCUUAUUUUCUGGACACUUCUUGGGAUAGAUGCGACCCUAGAGGAUAGAGACCAUUGCGGGAUCUACCUUGAUGGAUGACUUUUUUCGUUUCCUGAUCCUUUAUACAGAAUAAAUUUGGAUGAAAUUCUAUGAAGGUAUCAUUGUCUCGAGCUAAUUUAUGAACUGAAACUAGAUUCUUGCUAGCACUAGGAACAUGAAGGAUAUUUUUCAAGAUAAUAUUUUUGCUAGGGGUAUGUAAAGUUGUAUGACCAUGUUACUAAUUUUCAUACUUGUACCAUUGGCCGCAUGCACUUGAUCACGUCCAUUGUACUUGUCAUGAAUUAUCAUCUUCUCAAGUUCACUUGUGACAUGAUCUGAAGCACCACUAUCAACAUACCAAUUUGAAUCAUACCCAUAGCCGGCCAUGGCUGCCCCUGCUGUUUUCUGACUUGGUUGACUGUCAUCUUCAUCAUAUCUACACCAGCAGCGAUUUGCUUCAUGCCCAACCUUGGUGAAGUAAGCGGAGGAGGACAUGUUACCCUUCUUGGUCGUGGAAAGUAGAACGCGCAAAUUUGCAAUCUGCACUUUGGAGUGCGCCGAGAACAUCCUCUCAAGCACGUCCCAUGCUUCUGCAGUUGUAGUUAACGUCACCACCGGUGCUAAUGCAUCCUUGGUGAGGGAAUUCAGCAGGUAGCUUAGUACUUGCUGAUCUUUCGCGAUCCAGGAGUCGUACUCAGCGUUGUGGACGAUCUCCUUCUUGCCAUCCGCCGUGACCACCUCCAGAGUCUUGAGCGGCGCAGGGGUUGAUCCAUCUAGGAUCCCUAUAAGUUGAGCUCCUCGUAUAGUAGGAAGAAACUGGACCUUCCAUAGAAAGUAAUUGUCUCGAGUCACUUUCUCCGAGACAACUCCUAACGCCGGCAUAGCUGUUGACGUCGAUGUCAUGGGAUGCUGUUGAGAUGCUUCUAGCGCAGGUUGCUGAUACAGAAAAAAAUUCUGGCGCAGGAAGCAGGUACUGGCGCAGGAGAUUGGAGCAGGUGCUAGCGCAGGAGAUUGACGCAGGCACUGGCGCAGAAAUCAGAUGCUGGCGCAGGAAUCAGGAGCUGGCGCAGGAGAUUCUGGCACCGGACAUUUUCCUGGUGCAAGAAUUUUUUUUUGGCAAGGAUUUUGUGGAUGUUUAGGAAGAGGAUGCUCUGAGUACCAUGUAAGAAAAGGAGAAAAUGUGGUUGUCUAUCUUAGCUCGCCACGAUUACACAUUUGUAAAGGGUGAAUUCACCAAGAGAUUUACAUCGAUAUGGUUGUGACCGUCUAGGACUAGUUUGCUUCAUAUAUUUGAAUUACAACAGGACACAACCUAUGUCGAAGCAAACUUAUCCAAACCGGCCUAGAUCACAACCGCACAGUGUAGUAGGACUCUAUUGAGUCCGAACCAGAUUACAAUCAUAGUAGCUAAAUGACAAUAUUCUUCUAGUAUUCUCCACAAUGUCAUUGCCUCCGCCAAAACCAAUAGAAUUGUACACCUUAGCCCAGUCCUCCCCUGAUUUACUUGCCAAUAAGAUAGCUAUUGUCAUGAUAGCUAAUGGCACACCAUCACAUUUCUUCAAAAUUUUAUCACAUGCCUCAGUUGAAAGACUGUCUAGAAAUCUGUCUUCACCACAAGUUAUUCUAGAAUAUAGUAAUAUUUCAUAGUCAUCACGAGAAAGUGGUUGCAUCUUCUAAAUAUCACCAAUAUGGGUGGCGAUUUCAAAAAUCCGAGUAGUCACCACUACUCUACUUCGACAAUUACUAUGUCGGAACCUGGGCCGGAACGAUUUCAAUCCUUCCUGCCUUGGUCCGGAAUCAAUCUGCACCUCAUCCCUCCUGGAUCGGUUUCUGGCCACACGCGACGCGAGGAGAUGGAUGCUCCGCUGGCGGGGCGCGAGGCGACGAGGUGGCGGCGUGGCGGCGUGAGGUGACGGUGUGGCGGCAUGGCACAUCUUCGACGGCCACCACCGCGAUGGCGGCCGCCGCCUUCUCGCUGGUAAGCCGCCGCCUUUUCCUCCACUCUCCUUCUCGCCCUAGGUUUCUUGCUUCCUGUGUCCUCCGCUCGAUCUGGCACUUGAUCUAGGUAGGGGACUGCGGUAAUGUGCUGGAUCUGCUAGCGAUUUGGUUUGCUGGAUAUGCUCGCGAUUAGUUUUCUUGGUUUGUGGUGAGGGGAAAGCGAUAGGGUUCCAAAGCAGCCCAUUCCUGGUUCCAUGGUUCGUGAGUGUUCCAUGGUAUAGUUGGCUGGUCGGACGGACAAGGCUGCCAUGCGACUUCACGCGCUGCGCGGCGCAGCCUCCCGCGGCCCCCGCUAGCUAUCUCCUUGCUACCACCUACCAUUUCGUGGUGAAAGAAUUAGUGUCCAGCACACCAGUGUGUGUCAGUUCCUUAUUUUUUAUCUAUGCUGCUGACCCAAGAACGUCAUAUACAACAUACUAGAUGGAGUAAUCCGAGACAUAUUACUGUAUUAUUACUAGCAUGAUAAUACAAGGAAGCGCAGAGAAUUCGCAGACCAAUUUCAAUUUCAGUUUUCAGUUUAGAAGAAGAAUGUGCUUUCUUCCUUGUAGCAGAGUAGCAGAGAGCAUAGCAUUUGAACCAGGAUUGUGUUGAUUGAUUACAAGCACUCAUCUUCUCCCACAGUACGUGGUUUUAGCAUAUGUUUGUAAUUUGUAAGCAAACAGAGUAUGGUACUAUGGUCUGCUCCAUUUGGCAUCCAUGGCCAGUUCUCAAAUGUACAUUCGCUAAUGUGCCAGCCAAAUGAAAUGAGUUUGGGAAGACAUCAUGAAAAUAUGGUAUACAGGGAGGAGAGGAGAGAUUGCUUCAUCUGCGAUCAUCUUCUUCUUUCUUUUGCUUUUUCCUGUUUUUCCAUAUUGCGGUCGAUUGCUGUGUAGAUUCUCAGUUUAUUCAGGAGAGUUUGGGAAGACAUCAUGAAAUAAGUGAUAUAUAUUUGAUCAGGAGGUUCUGUGAACCUGGUUUAGUUUACUUGCGUCUUAAUUAAAUAUUGGCAUACUGAAAAGCUAUAUGCCUAUGUAUGAAGGGGAAUCUAAAUAAUGAAAAGCUAGAUGCCAUUUAGAUCAACUGAAACAGGUUCAAUUAUCACUUUAUAUUGGCAGGAUCUUUCAUGAGCAUGGCGCUCUUAUUGAUGGAAGAAUUCUUUCUUUUCUAGAUAAUAGUAACCAUCUAUAUCUGUAUCCAGAAAUAUCAGUACCAGUCACUAUUGUAUGUGUCGCACUUUGCACCUUUAAAGUUUGGAACAUAAAGAACUCAUGUGUAACUGUAAUCUACUAUGUUUCAUGAGACACAACAGCGACGUGUUUUUGGUGUGCCUACAUGGUUUGUGAUAUGAGUCAAAUCAUUGUUCCUUUUUUUCUUUUGCACAAGUAUAUGCUAUUAGGAAACAUUUUCAUAUUCUGCUGUAUCUGGAUGAACAAGUUCACAGUGGUUGUUAUGUUGACCUUCAAUAAUCAAGCUAGUUUGUUCUCUCUAACCAGCUAUUACUGGUAUUUGCAAGGAUGGAAAGUGUUGCGGAAAGGAGAUGUCUCAUGUUUGGUGAGCUCGAGUGCAUGGGUACAGAAGCUCAGACAGGGCAGGAAAUAAUCUGAAUUCAGAAGCUCUCGGUGAUCAAAUGGAAUCUCUGAAGUCUGGCUUCAGCUGGAGUGCUCUGUACUCUCUAGCAUGAGUUUUUUAGUAGCAAUUAUAGUCUGCAGUAGUAUGGGAAAUUUUCUCUUUCCUUUUCAACAUACUAUCUGAUGAUCCUUGAUCAUUGCUCAUGUUCAAUAUUUAUUUAAAUUUUUGAACUGAAAUCAUUGCAUUGGUGAAUCUAUGAUUAGGUUGAGUAUUGAACUGAAACUUUUGAGUACCGUAAUCAGGUAGUCUUGUUCUGGUACUCUUUAAAUAUCGAAUAUGUAAUUGGAAUGGUUCCUAUCUAGCCGAACACAAUUUUUUAUGAUCUGGAAUGGUUCCUGAGCAGGAUUUGAAAUAGGUCAGGAUCGAGUGAAGGAAGGGGAUCCACUUGAUCCUGGCUAGGAACGGUUCCUGGACCGGAACCAAUCCAAAGAAAACGAACAAGACCUUAAAAUAACACGUUUUUUAAGUAGCGAGAUGCCCGGAUCGGACUCAGGCUCCAGGACAUGCUAGAGGCAUUGUUAAUUUGACUGCUCUUGGAACGCCCAGAGGUCGUCAACGAAUAAGUACCUGAUGGAUGAGUGGAAUCUCGGCAACCAUUAAUCGUCACGUCCAUCCAAUGCAAGUCAGUGCCUGCCUCACACUUGUGAAACGAACGAGACCUUAAAAUAACACGUUUUUUAGUAGCGAGAUGCCCGGAUCGGACUCAGGCUCCAGCACAUGCUAGAGGCAUUGUUAAUUUGACUGCUCUUGGAGUGCCCAGAGGUCGUCAACGAAUAAGUACCUGAUGGACGAGUGGAAUCUCGGCAACCAUUAAUCGUCACGUCCAUCCAAUGCAAGUCAGUGCCUGCCUCACACUUGUUUGUGUCCAUCCAGCCAGGCAUAAGCUGUUAAGCCCUAGGUUGGUGGUUGCGUCUAAUUAAUUUCAUACUCGCCUUUGUUUUAAAUUGUAGAUAGUUGAAGGAGUUUUGCCCGAAAACUCUCUGGACGAUUCCAAAGUAAAUAUACUUUGUCCGAUGCCUCCAACUCCUGAUUGUCGGACCAUCCGGUGCCCUAGGGUUGUCUUCGUCUUCUCUGUGAAUUACUCCGACGCAUGUAAAAUACAAGUUGUCGGAUCAUCUAGUGCACUUGAAGUUUUUCCCCGUUUUCCUGUUGUACCAAUUGCUCCGGUGGUUAGUCCGAUGGUUGCUCUGGUGGACCAUCGGAACAUCCGGUGCUACUAAUUUGUCUGAGUUGAAUACCGCCAUUUGAGCACCAAAGAUACCAUCACUUGGAUUUUCUCUAUCAUUUGGAUGCUUGAAUAUCAUAGAAUAAUUCUAAAUAUCAUGGCUUGGUCACUUGGAUACCACCAUUUGGAUGUAGAAAAUACCAUUAUUUGGAUGAUUUGAUUACCAUGAUUUGUACCUUGUCAUGAUUUGGUUUGCAUUCUUGGGACCUAGAAAACCUACAAGGCACAUGCUUGAUAACCUAUCUUACUAUUACUAAUUGGAGGCUCCUUUUGAAGCCUCCAGAUGAAGCCACCUAGGAUUCCUAGGUCGACAUUCUAGAAAAAGAGAGAAAUCCUAGAAAUUCUCACAAAAAAGCAAAACAUCCGACCAUCAAUCGACAUAUUCAAAUCAUCAUAACCAUUGGAUCUAUUAUGUUUUCUAAAAAAUUACCCACCUAUACCAUUAUGAAAAUAGCCUAAAGUAACCCCCUAAAUCUACAUAUAAAUUACCCACCUCUGCCAUUAUAUAAAAUAAACUAAAGUAACCCCCUAAUCUUCAUCAAAAUUACCCACUUAUGCCAUUAUAAACAAUAUUUAAAAUAACUCUCUAAUUUGCAACUGAAUUGCCUACCACUAUUACUUUAAAAAACUUAAAGUAACCUCUUAAAUUUGUAUCUAUAUUAUCCACACAUGCUAUUAUUAAAAAUAACAUGAGGUAACCCUACGUUUGAAUCAAAUAACCUUAAUUAAAAAUAUACAACAAUAUAUGAUUCUAAAUCGUCUAUAUCUUACACUAUUGAUAUACGAUAUAAUAAUUAAGGUCUAUACGCAUGAUGUGUGAUGUGUGUCACCAUUUAUAAGGAUAUAAAGUUAUGGGAAUAUACAUUUGUAUGCUAAAAUUAUAUUUAGCAUUAUGGAUAGUUCUAUUAAAUUUAUGAGCACUCAAACUUAGGGUUCAUUAAACAAAUUCAAGCCCAUACAUGCGGUCCAAAGUGGAAAGUUAAAGAUUAUAAAUGUGGAUGAAAAUAUUAUAGAGUAAUUACUAACUGAAACUAUCAUAAUUGGAUGAAGAUAUUAAGUAUAAUAUCUACAUAAGUAUUGUGUUCGAAUAUUUAACAAACGAGAGGUAGCUUAUGGUAAUAAUUUUGUAGCAAUGUAAUCUCAUUUUUUUUUCAUUGGAGACUCCGCAUUAGUUCCCAUGAGACAAGCAAGAAAAAAGAGAGAUUCUCAUAAAAAUUAAAAACAUCAAACACCAAUCCUGUAAACUCUAAUAAUCAUAGCCAUUGAUUUAUUAUAUUUUCUAAAAAGUUAUCCACCACUGUCAUUGUGGAAAUAUUCAAAAAUGAGCUCUAAACCUAUAUCUAAAUUACCGAGCUCAGCUAUUAUAAAACAUAAUCUAAAGUAACCUCGUAAUCUUCAUCCAAUUUACUAAUGCACAUCAUUAUAAAGCAUAACUUAAAAUGUCAUUCUAAAAUUUUAUCUAUGUUACCCACGUAUGUUGUUAUUAAAAGUAACCUAAAGUAAAUACCUAAAUCUUAAUCUAAUUAUCUUCAUGUGCAUUAUAUAGAAAUGUCAAAAAGUAAACUAAUAUAUGAUUCUAAAUUACCUAUUUAUGUCAUUGUUAAUAUAAAAAUACUACAUUAAAGUAUAUACACAUGAUGAGUGCCACCAUUAGACCAUGUAUACACUUAUGUGCGGAAUCGAUGAAAAAUAUUGAUUUGUAUGCUAAACAUAAUGUACAGAGGAUUGGAGGUGCGAUACAAAAUGGAAAAAGUAUGAAUAUGAAUGAAAAAGUGCAUAGAAUAAUUAUUAAUUAAAAAUCAAUCACAACUGGACAAAGAUAGAUACAUAUCUAUAUAAGUAUUAUGUUGAAGUAUUGGAAAAAUAAUAGUAGUAGGUAAACAAUUUUGAUUAUUAGCUAAGAGUUUAAUUUCUAUAUAAUUUUCAAAUCCAAUAGCUUAUAAAAACAUUAGCCCGUGCGGGAGCACGGGUUGAUGGACUAGUUAGUCCCAAUGACUAUGCUAUCACUUAAUCACCAAAAUCACAAACAAUAGCCUAAUGUGGUCAUGUUCCUUACCCCUUAACAUUCUCCAUCCUUUCUCGCCAGUCACCACCGUGCCUCAUGCUCAUGCAUGAGGCUCGGUGACUUCCCGCGGUCUCACCUUGAUCUUGCUAUUUCUUAUAACCCAUGACAGAGAAACAAUCAUAGAGUAUAUAGGACUACUAUAUACUACGUACUACUAAGUAGCUGCAGCGAGAUUCCCUGAUCAGACGCGUUAUUACAAGUGAUCGCGACUUCAUUCCAUGAGAGAGGAGUCUUCUUCUUCUUUCCUUAUUUUUUUUUGCACGAGACUUCAAUGACAGAAUGGUCAUCAUAUAUCAUAUAAUAAUAUAGUAGCUUGCAUGAUGAUAAGGUUACUUCUAUAGUUAUGCAUGCCCGAAAUCUAAUUAGCUGUGACAGCUGCCACCAAAUAGAAGAAUUAGCUGUGUGAGCCCCAACAUGCAGUGUCGCUCAGUUUACAUUUAAAAUAACACGUUUUUUAGUAGCGAGAUGCCCGGAUCGGACAUUCGGACUCAGGCUCCAAAGCAUGCUAGAGGCAUUGUUAAUUUGACUGCUCUUUGAGCGCCCAGAGGUCGUCAACGACUAAUUACCUGAUGGACGAGUGGAAUCUCGGCAACCAUGCAUUAAUCGUUAAGUUGGCACGUCCAUCCACUUAAUGCAAGUCAGUGCUCACGCUUGUUUGUAUCCAUCCAGCCAGGCAUAAGCUGUUAAGCACUAGGUUGGUUGACAAACUCCCUUUGUUUUAAACUUUGUUUUAAAUUAUAGAUCGUUUUGUAUUUUCAAGAUGCAUAGGAAAAAACUAUACGAGUAGCAAAUCCAAACUCAAUUACCGAUACGAGCAUGCAUUGUUGCUUGUUCGAUUGAAUCCUCUGCUCAAAUUAGCCAAUCACCGCAGGAUUAUUGAGCUCGUGGCCACCUGAAUCGGAGUUGCUGCUACCGGAUCCCUUUCUUACCAAUGGCCAUACCCGUCGCGGCCGCCGACGCAGCGCUGCUCGCCGCCCGCGCAUAUGCCAUCCACCGUCCCUAGCCACGUCCUUGCGUUGCGCGCGCACCACCACCUGCUGCCAUGGACACCACCGCUCGCCGCGCUAGGCCCGAAGCAGUCGUCCAAGCGUUAAUGCCGUUCGUCUUGCUCGCCUGCACGAAAACCGAAGCCCACUUCGCCGUUGACGCCUGCGCAUAGCCCCGGCCUACCAGCUCACCGUCCACGGCCAGCACUCCCGGCUCGUCGCCGCGGGCCUGCGGCCCCGCCGUCACCGUGCGGGUUGGGUUGGAAAGAGGAGACGACGGGAGAGAAAACUGAGUACAUGAACAAUAAAAUAUUUUAGACAGGGCCCACUUGUAGAAGCCAUGGGUUUGGGUGAUGUUGGUUCGUAAAUUGAGUGCCUUGCUUAUAUGGCAGCAUAGACAUCAUCCAUAGAAACGGUGGGUUGAAAUCAGGACAAUAAUUGUGCCAACUAGCUGAUUAGUUAACUAUCAAUCCAAGAUAUUAUACUAGAAAUCAUGAUAACAAUUGUGAAAGAGCUGAGGCAGUACGACCAAGCCUAAUUAAACUUCAAACCAGGAUAAUGAUUAUGCCAUCUAACUGAAAUAUUUAACUCACAAUCCGAACUAUUAUAUACUAGAAAUAAGGAUGAUAAUCGUGCUAGCCAGCUGUGCUUCCUAGCUCAACUACUUCAUCUCCUUUAUCUGGUUUAAUUUUUGAUGAUGAGGCCAAUGACGUUUCAUAAGGUGGCUAAGUAUUUAUAUUUACAGUAGAAGAAAUAAAAAAUGCAAUCAUGCAUGGCAGAUGAAGUAAAAUUUCAGAAAACCAUUUUAAUUUGUAUGCAAGUCUAUGCCGACUCACAUCAUCCAAUAUAUAAUGCUUCCCUGCUGCUCAGUUGCCAUUAUUUAUUCCAGAGAAUUGCAUUUGGCUCCAUGUUGGGUAGGCUUUACAUGCAUCACCUUGUUUACAAUGCCACAACGUGGAGAAGUAACUCACCCCGGACAGCAAAAUCGAUGAGCAAUCAUGCUGCCGAGACUGCUCACGGCCUAAGGGGAAUUCUCUUCCUAGCCUAGACUAUACUCAAGCAACCUAGCUAGUUUUACAGCUCCAGCCUGAAUCCAGAGUUGGAUUUCCUGCUUGAUCACGUCCAGGAGUUGUAGUACCGUUGAUGCACGUACGUUGAUCAACACAACCGGGCGUUGCGCUCUCUCCUUCGCUCCUUGGCCUGCAGCUUCCUCGCAUGCGCCCACCAAUCCUGAAGAAGUUCUUAUCGAACACACCAUUUUUUACCUUCUAUUGCAGUAGUUCUAGUGUGGUACCUAGUUUUUUAUGCCCCUACUUGCAAUCUGGGUACAACAAUUUUUUAUAAUCAUUAAUUAUGCGCUGCAACUUUUCUAAUUUCUUCUCAGUUCUUGCAAUCUCUAUGUGUAUCUGACCAAGAUCAUCAGUAAACUCAUCUUCAUCAGCCUCGCUCAUUGUAGUAUCUGCAAAAGCUUGGCCUGCAGCCCAGUCCGGAAUGUUGUUAUCAUCCUCCUCUUCUUCGCCGUCCUCCAUUAUAACCCCUCUUUCACCGUGCUUGCAAACUCAUCUUCAUCAGCCUCGCUCAUUGUAGUAUCUGCAAAAGCUUGGUCUGUAGCCCAGUCCGGAAUGUUGUUAUCAUCCUCCUCUUCGCCGUCCUCCAUUAUAACCCUUCUUUCGCCGUGCUUGGUCCAAAUCAAAUAGUUAGGCAUAAAAACCGUAUCUAAAAAAGUGGUUGUGAAUAGUCCUCCAGGAACAGUAGUCCUUCUUGUUACUUCAUUAGAAGAUAAUGAAGCAUGAACAACAUAUGAGUUCAUUCUUUGGCUUGUUGCCUUUGGCCACUUCGAGAAAAUAAUGCAAGCCAUCAACAAACUUCUUGGUCCAUCUGUCCAUAUUAUACAUUCAUUGCCAGUCCAUCUGCAUCGUAUUACGUGAGAAAUGGAUAUAGGUCUUCGUAUUAGAUAAAGAGCUUGAUAAUAUUAGGUAGGGGAAAAUAGAGUUAACGUGAUUAUAAUAUUUGGUUCUUGCAAAAAAUAUUAGAUAAAUAAAUUAUUACGUGAGAAAUGGAUAUAGGUCUUCGUAUUGGAUAAAGAACUUGAUCAAUAUUCAUGAUUUACACCAAUCAACCUUCAUAAAGAUAAAAACAAUUCACAUGAAAACUACACCAUUUAACAUUCAUAACAUUCACAACAUUCACUAAAGAUACAUAUAAAGAUUACACUCACAACAAGAUAAUAAAGAUACAUAUACACUAAAGAUUACAGAUGCUCCAUAGUGGAGUUCACGUAGUCAGUUAUCCUAAAAUAAUGGUACAACAUAGCAGAAUGUUCGCUCUCCAAGCCAUCUCUAUACAUAACUUAAUCUUCUUCGAAGUCUAUCGAGAGUCACCUCCAUAUAUCCAGUAUCAUAAAAUAAUGGUGCAAUAGAAUAUCUUCAAGUCCACAUACUCGGGCUAAAUGUCAUAAAGAGAUCUUGAAAUAAUUGUCCAAACAUCUUUUGGAGCAAGUGCCAUAUUCUCAUAAUAAAAGUACGGUGGCACACACACAAUAGCCCGUCUAAGGAAAAGAUCUGUUCACUGAGCAUGGCCCAUGGUGGCAAGCUAAAACCAACCAAAAGCCGCUAGGUCAAGGUUAGUGAACAGAUCUUUGCCUGAAGAGGAUAUUGGGUCAACAUGCUUUUAUCAUGAAAAUUAGGCUCCAAAAGGCGUUUGGAAUACUAUUUCAAGAUUCUUUUAUGAUAUUCAGCCUGAGUUUAUGGACUCGAACCUAUCCUAUUCUACUAUUAUUUUCUAAUACUGGAGGAACGAAGGUGACUCUCUAUAGACUUCGUAGAAGAUUGUGUUAUGUGUAGAGAAUAGUGUAAGCACAUUUAUGCCAUGUGCAGACACUGUUAUGUAGGAUUGGAGGAACGGAGAUGGUACAUCCAUUGCCAGUCCAUCUGCAUCGUAUUAUAUGGAAAAUGAACAUAUGGCUUCGUAUUAUAUUAAGAACUUGAUCAAUAUUAGGUAGGGGAAAAUAGAGCAAGUGUGUUUAUAAUAUUUAGUUCUUGCAAUAAAUAUGAGAUAAAUAAAUUAUUGGUCAAAGAAAUACAAUUAUUGUUAAAUUACAGUGAUAUUAAAAAUUGUAGCAAUGACCAAAAUUCUAUUUCUUACACCUACAAUUUAUUUACCUUAAUUUUAUUGCAAUGAUUAAAUAUUAAAAACACAUUUACUCUAUUUUUUUCCCAUACCUAAUAUGGAUCAGUUUCUUUUAACUAAUACGGAUUAUAUAUAACAAGCAAACUAUCCAUCAAAUUCUAGCUCAAAAACAUGUAUAAAUAAAAAUCCUCUCAAUUCUCCCUCAUCUAAAAGACUCAUUUUACUCCCUCUCUAAAGCAUAAAACAAAACAUAAUAACAAUAAAUGAAGGGAGGAUGAAGUAGCUAACCUUCAAAACACUUUGGAUGAGUGAAAUCCCCACGGAAAUGAGAAAAACAAUUUGGGCAGCACCUCCCCUAAGGUUGCUUGCUCGCUAUGGAGAGGAGGAUGAAGCUCUUGGUCAGGUGGAGUGGCUCUGGCUGGGGGAGGAAGAAGAGUUUCUGGUUUUAUAGGGAAGGAGAUUUUAUCCCGGUUGGUAAUUCCAACCGGGACAAAAGAUCCCCCGGGACAAAAGAUCCCCUUUUGUCCCGGUUUGAAUUACCAACUGGGACUAAACCUUUUGUCCUAGUUGGAAUUACCAAUCAGGAUAAAAAGGAAGCGUCGGUGGGAUUUCUUAUAGCUAUUGCAACCGAGACUAGGAGGGGCUAUAGUCUGGUUGAUCUUUACAACCGGGACUAAAACGCCCCCCCCCCCCUCUGCGGUGGCCUUUGGUAGCACAUUUUUGAUCCGGGACUAAAGUACCUUUAGUCCCGGAUCCAAUGUUAACCAGGACAAAAACACCUAGAUGGAAGGUCAGUUCUCUACUAGUGCAACAAGCUCUGUCGUCUUCUUGUAUAGCGCUUGCAUGCGAGGAUCAAUGGUAGCAGGACUUGCAAGCUUGGCAAUAACGUUGUCGACUGUGUACCUGUCACGCCUUGCAGCCACCUCCUCGACUCUCUUGUUCAUGUCCCGGAUAGCUCCAGCGAUCUUGCGUCCUUGAUGCUUGCACUUCUUGAAGAUCUUUGCCAUCUUCUUCCGGAGACGCCUGAGCAUGCGUGCGUCAACAUGCUCAGAACCUUCGUCGAUGCGCACCAAGAAAGUGUGGACGAUGUCCUCCAUGUCGUAGGACAGCUCCCUGACAUCGUGCGCCUGACCAGCUCCUCGAGCUGGACCCAGCUUUUUGCAGAGUGGAUCUUAGAGUCGGUCAAGUAUCACUUCUUUAUUUUCUGUAUUUUGAGAAACAAAGUCAGUGAAGCAUCGAGCAAUGCGCCACGUGAAGGAGCAAUGCGCCCCUUUAUGAGCAAGUUUAAUAACCUAUCUAGCAAGCGAGCUGCAAGAUUUCUCUUAGCCAUUUCCUAACCCACUCGUACAAUGGUUAGCUUUUCACCAUUAAUACAUGGCCCACAAGUCAUUCUCACAAAGUUUCUUGGUUCCUGUACCCAAGUCAGCUGUAAGCUUAUAGCCCGCUUCUCUCUCACCUCUUCUCUCUCCUCCACGUCUGCAUUCAGCCAGCUUACAGCCUCUUAUUAUACUUGCUCUAAUACCAUCUCCAUAAACUCAUGGGGGCACACAACUCUCAGCAUUAGCAGUACCACUUGCUAGCUUCUGCUACACAAGCAAACCCAUAGGAUACACACCUGAGAGUAAUGGCGGACCUUGCAAUCGGGAUUUCCAGGACGGCGGUUCAGUUGCUGGCGGACAAAGUCAGGACCGCCAUCAAGGAGGAGGCAGAGCAGUGGCAGAUUGUGCAGCGUGAUCUCGUGUUCAUCACGGGGGAGUUCGAGAUGAUGCAGUCCUUCCUCAACGUCGCCGACGCGGAGCGCGUCAGGAACGAUGUUGUGUGGACCUGGGUGAGGCAGGUCCGCGACCUCUCCUAUGACACGGAGGACUGCAUUGAGUUCGUCCUCCAACUGGACACAAAUAAGAGGUCCUGGUGGCUCCGGCUGUUGCCGUCUUGUGGCAAGACGGAAGCAGCGCUGCCAGUGGACGAAGCCGUCGCCGAGACAACACUGCUGAGGGCUCGAGUGGUGGACGUGAGCCAGAGGAACAUACGCUACAACCUUAUUGUAGACUCUGGCUCCAAACCCAUCAAUCAGCAGGUUCAAAGGGCUGCUGCCUCCAGCACAAGUUCAUUUGACAUUCUCACCAAUGCUGUUAAGAAGACCGGCCCCUUGGAUGUUCCCGGAUUGAUCACUAGGGAAGACAAGGACCUUCAAGUGAUCUCGGUCUGCGGACCAGAAGGUGAUCUUGGGAAAGUAGCCAUCAUCAGGAAGUUGUACGGUGAUUCAAGAAUCUACAAGGAAUUUGAAUGCCGCGCCUGGGUGAAGCUUAUGGAGCCUUUUAAUGCUCAUGAGUUUUUACGGACCUUGAUGAUUCAGUUCUUCCCACACUCUUGCUGCAGCCAAGAACAACAAGAAGGAAGCAUAAAGGAGUCUGCUCAGAAAAUCAACACACAUAGGUACCUCAUCGUCCUUGAAGACCUAUAUACCAUGGCACAGUUGGAUACCAUCAGAUCCUACCUGCCGGACAUGAAGAAAGGAAGCCGGAUUGUCGUGUUAACCCACCAGCCGGUGAUCGCAAGCCUAUGCGCGGGGGAGCCGUGUCGAGUUUUUGAGCUCGUCCAGUUUUCACCAUAUCACUCUGUCCGCGUCUAUUUCAAAGAGGUAAAUCAAUAGUGUACUUUCAGAAAUUAAAAAAAAUAUUUCAUACAUGUUGCUGGUGCACCACUUUCUUCGAUUUUCUAUAUUUUUUAUUUACCAUGGGGGUUUGUAAUACAUGACACGAACAGCAGAGAUGUAACCAGAAAUAUGAGCCACUUUCUGAGCUUUUGGUUGCCCGCAUGCUCUAGCCCUUGUUUACUUCCCUCCAAACUCCCAACUUUGACACUAUGCAAAAAGAAGAUUCUCCAUCACAUCAAACUUGCGGUACAUGUAUGGAGUACUAAAUGUAGACGAAAUCAAAAAUUAAUUGCACAGUUUUGUUGUACUUUGCGAGACGAAUCUUUUGAGCCUAAUUAGUCAAUAUUUGGACAAUAAUUCACAAAUACAAAUGAAACGCUACAGUGUCGCAUUUAUGGCAAAAUGCCAAUUUGGCACCUCCCAACUUGGGAAGUAAACAAGGGCCUAGCCUGGCUGGUAUACAAAACUCACCUUCGCAUGGCUAAGAAGAGAAAGCUGUUUAGUUGCCUGCGGAAACAUUAGUUGUAUGAGAUAAAUGUGGACAAAUAAGGGUUAUUAUGAUAUUUAUUUUGUGCAUUUUUAAAUAUUUAUGGAGCAUUUAUUUUAUAAGCAUCAAUAUUAUUCCUUAAGCACAAUAAUAUCACUUGAUAUAUCCUAACAAUGCAGUAGUAGCAUCAUUAGCUAGGCAGUUGUUGACUGCAUCAAGCAAGCCAAGCUCCGCAAAAAUUUCAUGUUUCUACAAAGCCAGGCUGUCAUACCAUAGUAACAUGCAGGCAACAAAGCACUUCUGUAUUCAUCUUUUAGACCAGGCUAAGCAAAAUGCAGGUAACCAAAUUAACAUUUUCAUGAUUACACAUACCUCUUAGUGGACUCUCUCCUCUAUUGUUCAUGCUCUUAUUUUUCCAUGACUUUGUUGUACAAAUGCUGUUGGCACCCAACAAAUACAUAUAAAAACCAUAUACAAAUUCAAAAUAUGAAUUAUUGAAACCUAUGUGCAGAUUUCUAUUGUCCCCCAAUUAAUCUUCCUUUUCUUUGUGUGUGAUUGUGUGCAUCGUUUGAAAACAGUGCUAUGUCUGCUUUAGUUUUGUGCACCCGUCUGCCAGAAACAUUGCUCAAUAACUAAUGAAUAUAACUUUUCCACUGAAUCAGGGAAUUUUUCAUACAUGUCAAUUUUCCUAGCUACUAGUUUAGGUUGGCGAUCUAAUUUGACAGCCCAAAGCGGCCAAAUGUUAGUUGACAAAUCUUAUUUUCACUUUUUUUUGUUGGUGCUUUUUUUACUCGCACUUAUUGGCAUAGGUGCUUAUUUUAAUUAAAAAUAAUUAAUCCGCCCUCUCUAUUCUUCUUUCAACUUGUUUGUACAUCUGUUUCUAUAUCUGCAGGGUUACCAGCAUGAUAAACUCCAUUCCUUUAUAAAGGAAGAACCCUACCAUUUAUUGUGCAAAUAUGACCUUAUUGGACGUGACACUGAAGUGGAUGCACUUUUUGAGCAAAUCCAGGAAGGUCGUCUUAUUUCUUUGUGGGGAAUGUCUGGUGCUGGUAAAUCAGGACUCGUUUGGAACAUCUACUGCAAAUGGCGGACUAGUAAUAAUUCAUGGAAGCACGCUUGGGCUAGUGUUUCCCAUCCAUUCAAUCCCACAGACUUCUCCCGAAAUUUACUUCUGCAUUUACUUCCGAAAUCAACUUCUUCGGAGGAAAGAUAUUAUAAAGCACAUCCGGCAAAAGAUCCCAUCCAAGAAUGUCAACAUCUUCUACAUGAACAUGUGUACCUAGUUGUAAUUGAUGGUUUGCAGUUCAAGGAAGACUGGGAUUGGAUAAAAUCUAACUUGAUAGGAAGCGGAGGUUUGAGAAGUUGUAUCAUCACCAUUACUUCGGAAGAAAGUGUUGGCAAACAUUGUGUAGUAUCAUCAAACAAUGCAGUAGUGCACAAUAUCAAAGGUCUUGAAGCUGAUGCAGCCCUUGAACUGUUCAAAAAGGUGUGUUUUCUCACAAGCAUUGUUCCAUUUAGUUUCCACUUAUAUCUACUAGCAUAAUUCCUUACUGUAUCAUAGUAUUACUAACUAGAAACUCUUUUAGGUCCUCCAUAUUGAAACCUCAAUAGGCACCAUAGAAAAAUAAAUAAAUCUUAAAAAUUCUAGCAAACAAUGAAAACAUCUAGAUGUCAAUUCAGGAGACUCUAAACAUCAUGGACAAUAACAACCAAUAGAUCUAAUAUGUUUUUAUAAAUUUACCCAUUUGUGCUAUUAUAAAAAAGUAGCCUAAAGUAACCCCAAAUCUAUAUCUAAAUUACUUGCCUUAGCCAAUUAUAAAAAAUCAUCUAAAAAGUCUAUAGUACCCUAAGUCAACACAAAAAAUUACUGACCUAUUCCAUUGUGAAAAAUAAUAUAAAAUAACUCCCAAAACUUUCAUAUAAAUUUCCUAUAUAUGCCAUCAUGAAUAAUAUUAUAAUUUGACCUUCUAAACUUGUAUAAAAAUAACCCACCCUCUCCACUAUUAAGAAUCACUUAAAGUAGGAUGGUCUCUUUUCUCUUCACAUGAACUUAAAAUGUAAAAGGUUUAAUUUAGCGUGAGAGCUUAUUCGUUAGUAAAUAGAGCCAUAGCAAAUAGUGGUAGGCAAAACAAAAACCAAAGGAUUUUCGGUCACUAAUUCGGCCUUAGAGAUUAACAAACCAAAUUAAGUUUAUUUCGGCAUAUUCAGCAUUUGCUGUCAGUUAACAGAAAAACUGAAUGAACCAAAAUCACAAGUAAGAGGCCCAAUACUGCUUCUAGCAAUGCUCAUUACAAACCCUAAGUAUAUAACGUCCAACCCAAAUCACUCUCCCUCAUUUCAUUCCCUACCGAACCCAACCCGACUGCCUACCCCACUCCCAACCCUAGGCCCCCACCAAACCAUAGCGGAGGCAGGCCUUACGGCGCUCCUCCCUACAGCAAUGGCCGAUUGCAGUGACGACCCAGCACCAGUGGCUAGUGGCGCCUACUCCCUUCCAUUCGUUCCUCCAUGAUAGUGAGGAGCUGAGGAUGGCACUACAAAUGUAUCCUGGGGAGCGGCGAGGAUGGCACCUCGUCUUGCCAACGUGCUGCAGAUGGAUUCGUCUCGAUUUGUGCCUUAUCCUUCUGGAUUUGUUCUUAUUUGUGCUCAUCCUUCGUCAUGUUUAGUUUGUGAUUCAGUUGGUUUGGUCAUGAGUCACGACUGAGACCAAACCAAAGUAAUCGAGACCAAAUUGGCUUGGUGUCGAUAAUUUUUAGUAAUUGAAUAGUCUUUAUUUUUGGUUAACCGAAUUUUAGCAAAAUCCAAAGAAGCAAACCGAUCAGUCUCGGUAAACUGAAUGCCCACCCUUGGUAGGGAAGGCUAAUGUUGUGAAAGAGAAAGUGUUGUAGCAAGUCAUUCCAUACCGGAAUGUGUGCUCAAUUCCUGUUUCCUUUAUUUCAAAUUUAUAUUACUUAGUUUGAGUAUAGUUUAAAUUUAUACUGCUUACGUGGUCUUAAAUAGGUGCUGGAGGAGAAUGCAUGCUAUCUGGGACGGCGUAUGGUAAAUACAGCAGACCUUUUUAUCUUGUCCAAGUGUGGCGGGCUUCCCAAAGUGAUAGUUACUUUGGCAAGAUACUUGGCCAGCAGACCAAGCAAAGACGUACUCGAGCAGGAGAUGAGGCGUCUGAGUGACAACUUUAUGCACGAGCUAGAGACCAACCCAGAGUUUGAUUCCUUACGUGGCAUACUUGCCUGGAUGCAUUCUUACUUGCAUGCUUGCCCUCGGCAUCUCAAGAAAUGCAUGCUUUAUCUAUCGGUCUUUCCUCAAGACAGGAUCAUCCGGAGGAGGCGUUUGGUGUGGCGGUGGAUCGCGGAGGGCUACUCAAAGGGCACCGACAGCAUUAGCAUGGAGAAGUACGCGGAGAAGCUUUUUGACGAGGUUUCUGCACUGAGCAUCAUUCAGCCAGUACUGAAGGCAAGUAAGGUUAUUGGGUACCGAGUCAAUGGUUUCUUCCGCGAGUAUAUCAUCUCGCGGCCGGUGGAAGAGAGAGUUUUCUUUCCAGUGGAAGUCUCUGCACUGGGGCGCGGGCAUGGCCGGCUGACCACAGAAGGCAUAGGACAGCACCUAGCUGUUGGGGAUUCCUGGGAUGUUGACCGGGUUGUGUUCGAGGGUUUGGACUUCUCACGGCUACGGUCUUUGACAGUGUUUAGAACAGUGUUUUGGCCAUGGUACGUCCCGGACAGGAUGAGGGUGCUUCGGGUGCUGGAUCUAGAGAAUGCAGAGUAUGUAAGUAAUUAUGCCUUUGAGAAGAUUAUGAAGCUGCUGCCUCGUCUGAAGUUCCUCUCGCUAAGAGGACAGAGGGAAGUCUCGCGAGUGCCAGAUUCCGUGGGUGAGCUGAUGCAGCUGCAAACUCUGGAUAUCAGAGACACCUCUAUAGUCGCGCUACCACCAUGCAUCACCCGGCUACAGAAGCUGCAGUACAUUCGUGCAGGUACCACCAUAGCGUUCACGCAAGAUGACAGCUUGUCUGCGGGGGAGCAUUCGACUCCAUUGAGUAGGAGGUCAAACGCUAUGGCGUCCCGCUUGCUUGCCAGAUUCAGCAGACGUGGACCUGAUGGCUCUUGCAGGAAUGGUGUUGAGGUGCCAAGAGGGAUCGAGAGACUGAAAGCCUUGCGGACGCUUGGUGCUAUUGAUGUAAAUACUGCAGGGGAUGCCACUCUUAGUGAGAUCCGUUCCCUCUUUCGCCAGUUGAAGAAACUCGAAUUAUUCAUGAUCAACCGUAAAAUCAGCGGAUGGUUUUUGUCGCAUUUAUUUGUGGCACAGCAUUUGGAAUCAUUGUCUAUGCAGUUUGAGAAGAGCGAUCAUUUUGUUCAUUGGGACUACAUCUCCCUUCCCAGAAGCCUACGGAGCCUAAAGAUGCACGGCCAUGUAGAGCAGCUGCCACGAGGUAUCGAGUAUCUUGGUAAUCUCUUGAAGCUGACUUUAGAGAAGACUACACUGUUCACACCAGAUGACAUAGAGGUCAUCGGGACAUUACGAAGUCUGCGUACUCUGCGCCUCCGUGUCAAUAAAGAUCAAGAUGGCGAGCUCCAAUAUCACUCUAGCCUUUUCAGCAAACUCGAGGUCCUCGAGAUUGUCUGCAAAUCGAAGUUACGUGUAAGGUUUGACAUUGAUGCAAUGGAAAAGCUUGAGCAGCUGAAGAUUCACUGCCUUCAGGGGUCGGAGAUGCAGUUCUCUGGGUUAGAGCACCUGUUUUCCCUCAAGCAAGUCUGGCUUAUGGGUUCCAUCGACGACGCACUCAAGGUAGCAUUGGAGCAGCAACUUGUCAAGCAUCUGAAGAAACCUGCUCCGAAACUGGAGGUUGAGCCACGUUCGUCCCAGGAGUCGUCCGAGGAGUCGAACUAAGGUAUGUAGGCAAUUGUUUCUGUUGUAUGCCUGCCAUUCGUACUUCCUUUCUUCUAUUACUCUAUCUAAACCUAGCAUCCGGUUUACCACAGGGAAGUCCGACACUCCAACUUGCAGGUUUGGAAGAGGACACGCUAGCUGAUCAUCCUAAGAAAUCAGUUUUGAAGCUGCAGGGAGCCAUGUUCUAUCCUGAUGGCCUGGCGGGUAUUUACUGAAGUUCGAGAUGCUGACUGCCAGCCGUCGCCCAAUCCAGUAUUCUCAGCCGAGAAGGAUUAGCUCCAAGUCUCUUAAAUGGGUCGUGUAAUUAACUGUCUCUUACUGUCAUUAGUAGAAACCAUUACCUGUUUUUUACCUCGAAAGCGUAGUAGAGCUGUGUAUCAUUAUAAUAAAGAAGCAGAAAACAAUACUGUAUGCUAAUGAACCCACUGAAAUUUUAUAUUGGUCUAUAUGUACCAAUAAGGCUUUGUGUCUCGUGUACAUGCACGAAAAGGUAUGUGAGAAGAGCAUCGAUAUCAACUUAAUUUGCUACACCCUAUUGUGAUGGCUGGUGUGUAAACGAAAAUCUGAGAAAUACUUGCUGUUUGUCAAACAGGUGUUUUUUUCCGCCCUGGGGGGCUGCUGUUGGCGCCAACUGGUGCAGAACAAUCGCGGUAUGAAAUCUUGACCAACAGCAGCUAGAAUAAACAAGUACUAUCUUCGAGCAACCGGAAAUUGAUUCACUAUUGCAAGACAGAGACACUUCAAAAGCAUUGGCUGUACUGUAGCAGGCAAGGACCAAGCAAAGAACCUGCAGUACCACUAAGCAAAGAUUAAAUUGAGCUGCACUAUUGCAUUGCACCCGUUGUCAGUCUCAUGGCCAUGGAGAAAAGAACAGAGCUGCUCACAUUACAGAACUGAAUGAGCAGUCGAGCUGCAAAGCAAAACAGAGAAGUACUGAACCAUUGCUACUGCUGACAGACGUGCAUAGACAAGGAUUAAACAAGUGCUCAUGCAUUCUGACAUUUAUUAGUUCAUCGAUUAACUCAUCAACUACUAAACUGAUCAGGCACACACGGUCAAAAGCAUGCAUGCAAUGAUUAGUUCCUGUAGCUUGAAAGUGACACGCCUGAAUCUAAACAACUAUCUCUGAAUAAUGGCCAAACCUUGCUUCUGCUGUCAGGGCUGGGCUGGUCGCUGCUGCUGAUCUGCUCGACCGGGCCGGCUUGCUCCGCACCGCCAACUGGGCCUAGCGUGGCCUGCCUGAGCUGCUCUGGGCCGGCGUGCCUGCCUGGGCUGGCGUGCAGCUUGCCUCGCCUGGUCCGUGAGUGCCGGCCUGUGGAGCCCAGCGCAGCAGCGUCGCGCUUGGCGCGCGUGCCGCACGCGUGCCUCUGCCCGAUAGAAGAACAGAGACGAACAGAGCAACAACAUUACGAACAAAGCUCAACUUUGAAUCAAAAGUCCUCUCUCGAAACUCCACGGAUCCAAAUGAAACUUGAUCCAUAGAAGCAAAACCUCAAAGGUUAACAGAUCCAUGAAAGAGAUUUUGAAAAUCUCAAGUAUUCAUGGUGGAUUUAGGAGAAAACCGAAUGCCCUCCACGAAUAACACGGUUUGGAAAAACUCAAAUUCAAAUCAAAUUCAUGAGUGAUUUGAGGGAGGUCACAUCAAAAUUGCUCACAAAGGUCCUAGCAACAAAUUUCCCCAACAAACUUUGUGGAUUUGGAUUCAUACAUGAAGAACAAAAAUUCCAACGAAAAUGCUCAAAAAAAUCCGAAAAAGAUAAAUUUCAGAUUCAAAGAGUAUGGAACAAGAUAGUAUAAAAUUGAUCUUUGAAUUAUUUCACCAUAUUCGGAUACAAACCACUCCAAAGCACAAUCAAAAUUAGAAUGGCAAAAAGAUCAACACAAAGAUCUACUCAUCUCUCUCCCUCUCUCACACCUAAAGGCUCCAUCAAAUGAGAAGCCCACCACCAAAGAGAUGCCCAACAACCUUCUCUCUAUAUAUAGACAUCUGGAACCCUUACAUGAACCACACAAUUCAAAUAUCCCCAGGGGUAAAAUCAUCCAACUUUUUCCUCAUACAUCGGACGGACCCGACGCCUUCACGACUUAGCUUCGCCUCGACGCAAGCUUCGUGAUGAUGCCACACGUCCUCUGACUCGACGAUGUCCAGCCGCACCGGACUCAUCCUUCGGUUUUGAGUUCAAACUGGUCAAACCUCUUGCACACCCCGCAGGUGUGACUCAGACCCGGUUUUGAGGUCAAACUGGUCAAAGCCUCUUGCACGCCGCACCUAACGUGACUCAUCGAUGUCGACGUGUCCGGCCUCCGCCAAGCAAGAGUACACGGAUGGGAUGGAGACAGCGUGUACUCUGGCUUAAUCCCUCACUUAGUUGAUGAUGGCCUAUCUAUCCUCCAAUAUGCAGAUGCAUUGACCUGCUCUGACCAGAGUGCACCCCGACGUGGGUAGGUUUCGUAGCUUGAAGGUUCUCAACUGGUGACGGUGUGCCCUGCAGUUGAGAGCGGUUCCAGACUCAAGAAAACAGGAGAGUACUAUCCACUUACUAGGGCUCCGACCGUUAGGUGGGGUUUGGACGGAUCGCUAUCGUUCAGGCUCCAUCUGUGUGGGUACAGUUGUACAACCUCCGCGGAGUGUGUAAACCUAUAGCUAUAGUUUGUGUCCACUGGUUAUGAAUAGUGCUGUUGACUACCGCUACUUCUGACUAGACUUUAUUUAUACUUCUACCUUCCCUUUUUGAGAUAGGCCGGCGUUUGCCGUUGAGAUGUGAGGGGAGAGAGCUCUCACAUCGCCUAAUAUGUAUGGGUGCUGGAUUCUUGGGUAAAGGAUCUGGUGGUUUGUGACGACUUCCUUGUUGUGAGGUGUUGACCUCGAAGAUGGUAUUACUAUGAUGCAUUCUUGAUCGAUGCUGCUGCAUAAACCUCUACAGCCAUAUAUAGGUUUAUCCAUACAUAUAGUAUUAUUCCCCCCGUUUCCUUGGCUUGCUACUAUUGAGAAUUGACAUGGCCUACCCGCUUCUCGGGUAGAUGGUGGCUUUUCAGGAUCGAAGCCGAUUACGACUUCGACAACGACGAAUGGGAAGACUAGGGAUAGUCCCUCGCUCAAGUCACCUCUGGAGAUGGUGUUCGCUAUAGCUUAUGUUUCCGCUGCAUAGAUGUUUUACCUUUCAUGAUUCAGUCCUGAUGGACCUGUACUGGCAUGUGCCAAAGUGAUGUAUUUGAUAUUUAUAAUAUUAUUACUCUAUUGCUACUCUAUAUUUCUAUGUUGGUAUGGAUUUGUACUAUCAGAGAUAGGUAUUUGCACGUGAUAGCCUUUCUGAGACUAUCACGGAGAUGCGUAAGCUUGAAUUUAAUGGGAAUUUGGGUCGUUUCAGGACGUGGGCGAUUUCGAUAUCCGCCGGCCUUUCCUUUUUUUCUCUUUUUAGAAAAACACCAGCCCGUCUUUGCAAGUGUCUUGCGUGAGUGUGGGCAUCUACGUUGGUACGAUGUUUUAAAAGCCUCAUCGACUGAAGUGAAAUGUUACGAGGCUGGAAAGAAGAUCGGCGGCAGCCCGAGACAUGGAGCGGAGUAGAUAGGCUCGGCCCAGGAAAAAAGGGAUAGCGGGCUGAAUUGCUCAAAUGAAAAUUCAGACCUUACAUGAUUACAUGCAACAUGAAAAUCAACAGACAUAUAAUUCACAGAUAGAAAGUUCUGUGGAAAUGUGGAUAUAUUACAACACUACCAUCUUAUUUUACUUCCAGAAAUUUAAAAAUCUCAACAGAAAUAUAUCACUACAAGAGGCGUCAGCUAGCCUAGUUACUUCCACAUGGCUCGCGGAUAUUUCAACUCAAAACAUCACAAAAGGAAAUACAAGAACCUGCCAAGUCAAUACUGCCAACAAAGUAUUCAAGAUAGCAUCAUUAAGAUCAAACAAGAUAUUCAAGAUAGCAAGAUUAAGAUCAAACAAGCAAGCUUGCAAUUAACCUCUCCCCAACUAGAGACACCACGCCCAAUUGAUUCCAAGCUAACUGAAUAAGUCCAUAACAGACGGUACAUGCUACUUGCUACCUCAAGGUUCAUCAAUGGUUUUACAAACUGAGCACACACAAUCAGCCCAAAGUCAGCAUUACAGAUGCCAGUAGGCCACCAUAGUACGAUCCAACAAGUACUGAUACACUUCGCAGCUUAUCUGAUAUUGGAGACCACUAUACUGAGGUCAGAUAAGGUCGAUCUCACAUAUUUAGCAGCUAGCUCAGCAAGAGCUUCACUUCAGUUCUGCGGGAAGAGCCAUGUCGCAAACACCGUGCCACGCUUCCAUGACACCGUCGGCAGAGGGGUGGAGACCUUGCCGUCCCUCAUGCUGUAGACACUGCAAGAGCUUGAGGUCGCCUUAGACCAACCGUGAUCCUCAUCGUCAUUCUCCAGGAAGAAGAUGCAAUCCCUCGGCACCUCCUCAUGAGAGACACAAGCAGAUCUGCAGCACCGUCGACGUAAAAACAAAACCCGGUCAUCCCCUACUGUCAUCACCUUGGUCCACUGUGACUGCCUCAAACUGGCUUUAAACACCUCAAUCUCAUUCUGUUCAGAUGCAGCGGAUUCAGGGAGAGCUCCUCCUGUCUCUCCUUCUGCCAACUUUCGCAACACCACCAGCAACACACCACGCGAUUCAACUAGAUAGGUCAUCUUUGUAACCAGUGGAAUUGAGAAAGGCGGAUCGUCGAUGAUCUUUCGCAUUUCAGAAACCCAUGGGUUGCCCGUGCUGCUGUCCACACUGAUGUCGAUGGCAAAUAGUAUACCCAGGAUAGUA
rnacentral:lncRNA from 1 species